UCGAAUUAAAAAAAAAAUAUGACAAUUCAGUAGUCUUUAAUGAAAUAAAAAAAAUGAAAAAUGUUAUUUAUGUCAUUGUAAGCACACUAUAUUAUAUUACUUUACAAAGGGACGAAAGACAUCCUUUGCGUUAGGAUGCUCCCACUCCACCACUGACUCCCACCAUCUUUUUGGACUUAAAUAGAUAUUUUUAAGAGAUGGGGGAGGAGAUGGCUGGCCAUUUUCGAGCAACGGAAGACAAAUUGGCAUCCUCUUCAGCUUCUCACAAUAUGUUACAUCAAUAUCUUCAAGAGAAUUGCAAAUCAGUUUUGCUCUGCAAAUGCUUUUCAGUUCAGGUAAAAUAACCAAUUUCAGAAUUCUUAACUUUGGGAGAAUGACUUCCGUGAUGGAAUUGGAGCUGCUGCUUUCUUCAUCUGUUGUUCCUAUUAUCUCCUCCAUUUUCUCACAGCACUUCACUUCAAUCCUUUCCAGGUUUACGAGGUUUGGCAGCAGCACAAGUGGGAACAACUUCUUCAUACUCUUACAUCCAUAACAAAAAAACCUUUUAAUACUGGAAAACAUACCAUUAUAUGAUGGCAAUGGUGGUGGAGCAGAGCAGAACCAAGAAGAUGAAACCAAGCUCUCCAUGUUAUAGCAUUCCCCAAUGCUGAUUUCCUUCAGUUCAGUUGCAUUCUCUAAUGACAAAACAUCACAUAAACUUCUUGCAUCGAUGCAUUCACAAAUCAGUCCUUGAAUGCCAUUUAAGAACUUGACCUGAAAAUCUCUGUCUUCGUUGAUACUCAAAUUACCCAACCCAACUGUUUUCAAACUUUCAAUGCCAAAUCUACCCACCUCUCCUACUAAAAUCUUGCAUGUGCUUAAUGAUAGGAUCCCAUCCCGAGAUCUGAGAUACUCCAUUAAGUCAGGGAGACCUUCGAAAUGGCAUUCCAAAGUUUCCAAAUUUCUCAAGGAUCCUACUUCCUUUCCUUUUAACUGUUAUCGGAGCAUCACCUCGCGGCAUAAACUCUUCUAGUACAAAGACUUGCAGGUGAGAGAGUUUUGGUAAUAUCCCACUAGGAAACGCCUUUUCACCACAUCCAUCCAUACUAAGAUACCUCAGGUUGGUUAGGCAUUCCAUUCCUUGCGGCAUCUUUUCAAGCCUAGUAUAAGAGAGAUCCAACCUCUUCAGUGCCGUGAGCUUCUUUAAUGAUGGAACAUGACGUAACUUCUCACACAUUUUGAGCAAUAACGCAGUGAGACUCACCAAAUCAGAGACAGAGUCUGGCAAGUUUCCAAUAUUUGUCCAAGACAGAUCGAGGACCUUGAGCCCAUGCAAUUGCUUGAAAAAUGAAUCCGCAACAAAUCCCAACCCUUUAUUAUCACAUAGAAAUAGAGUUGAUAGAUAGGGACACCUUGGUGAAUAGCUGGAAGGAAUUUCUUUGAUAUUGUUUUGCAUUAGUGAGACUCUUGUGAGAUUCUCUGUCCACUCCUCUGCAUCUGGCAACUCUUCUAAUUGCGCACCUGCUUUAACCAUGACUUGAGAGUCGUCUUGCAGUAUUUGGAUGGCCAUGUCCCUAAUCAAGUCAUGCAUCUUGACAAGUCCAUAAUCCAUUUGAGCACUUUCCAAUAGGCAGACAUUUUCAAGUCUAUUAAGCAUCGUGUGGCCCUCAUCAAAUGCAUCUCCCCUGCUCCUCUUUCCUUUAAUUAUUCCCUCAUCGAUCAAAUAACCUAUCAACUCCUCCCUUGCAAUCAUAUCAUCUUCAGGAAAUAAUGCACAGUACAAGAGACAUUGCUUUAGUGCUAAAUCACCUAACCGAUCAUAACUAAACCUCAAUAACCUGAAUACUUUCUCAUCUAUGUCCCUAAAUUCUGAUUCUCUCAAUUUGUUCAAUGUGUUUCUCCACUCAUGUGGAUCAUCCACUCCCCUCAAGCUUCCUGCCACUGCAAUAAUUCCCAAUGGCAAACCAGCACAUUCCCUAGCAAUAUCUUUCGCAAUUCCUUCCACUUCUGGUGAAAGUGCUAUGUCACGUCCAAGUUUCUCCAUGAACAAAUUCCAAGCUUCACCCUCAGAAAGUGGCUUCACUUUGAUUUUGUGGUGGCAAGCCAUCCGAUGACAAACCGUUUCUGAUCUAGUUGUCAUAAUCAGCUUGCAUCCUUUCGACAGCACAGGAAUUCCCACUUCAUCAAGCUCAAAAUUGUUCCACAAAUCAUCUAAAAUGAGGAUCCAUUUUUGUUUCGUCCUUAAUUCUUCUGACAAUUUGGCAGCUCUAUGCACAUCAUCAUCUUCGUUUGCAAGGUCUAGAUCAAGACAUUUAGCUAUGAGAUUCUGCAAUCUAGUAAUGCUGAAAUCUUGAGACACAGUCACCCACCAAAUAUUUGGUUUUUGUAGAAGCUCAUUAUGGAUAUGUUUGAGUAUUGUCGUUUUACCAAUCCCCCCCAUGCCAUAAAUGCCAAUGGUUGGGACUUUAUCAUCCAUUAACAAAGACCAUAUCUCCUUCGUUUUCUCUUCAAAUGCUUGACCCACUGGCUUUGUGGAGCUAGUAGGUAAUGGAACUCCUCUAGUCUUGUUGUAUUUCAGACUUUCAGAAGAUCUUGCUCCUGCGCUAGCCUCCUCCAUUGGUUCUGUCCUCACUCUAACCAUGUCCAGCGCAUCAUUGUUUACUGAUGGAGCACAAGGUUGAUCAUAACAUCCUCCAAUGUCAGGACAAAAUUGGGAUGAAUCUCCUCGAGGCUCCAGAAGCUGCACUUGCUCUGUUCUUGGAAUAGUCUCAAAUGCAUCAUGCUGAAAAGAUCCUUCACCUUGAACUCCCACUUGUACUGCUUGUAAAUGCGACUGAAUUCUCUCUUCUCCGGGACCUUGUUCCACGCCUUGAACUCCCACUUGUACUGCUUUGCUCUGUUCCAACACUCGAUCCACGGGUUCUGUCCUCGUUCUGCUCUCGAGUGCCCCUUCGGAAACUCCAUCUUCUUGUGCUCUCAUUCCGGUCAUGCUUGCUACGUCGUUUCCUGCUAUUGCAUGAGAAGAAAUCCUCUCUUCCCCUACCCCGGGUUCUACAACCUGAACUUCUCUUUGUACCCUUCCAAUACCUCCUACCAUUGUUGAGAUUGAACUUGCUGUGAUUUUAUGUCUUUUGUUGCCACCACGCAUAGCUAGAAAGGCUGCUUCUUGAACUUCUUUAGGCACCCCAAGACAAAUGGCAACAUUAUGCCCUUCCUCUCCUGAUAAAUGCCAUUUGAUCCUUGAAAUGGAGGUUUUAUUGGCAAAUGUACGUUGACAAAACUUACACUUCAUCCUACCCUCAUCACUUUCUUCAACAUGAUUCCAAAACGGAUCAUUUGAUCCAACCUUUUCGACCUAUAGAAAAAAGAAGUCAAAGUAUAGAACAAAAAUCAGUUAAAAUAUGGAAUAAAAAUUGACGGAUCAAGUUACAGAACAGAAGUUUCCGGAUUGAGAAACUAUUUUGCUAUCAAAAUUGAUAGUUAGUUUAUAGCACAAUCAUAGGGGAAAAAAGACUACGAUAAUUCAGUUAGACUUCUUACUUGUUGAGUAUUUAAACCCCUAUUUUGACUUUGGAAGGAAGUGUCAGGGCCAGGAUUAGAGGCAUUUGGCAUAGCAGUUUGAUUUUGCAAUCCUCCGGCUUGGAAUUUAUCCAUCUGUGACCUAUAUAUAAAUGAAAUGAUCAUAUUAUAAAAAUUUUCGAUAAUUGGUAGUCUCUCUUAAGCACUAAAAAUCAACGGUGUAUCUAAUUAUCGAAAAAGGUAUUAAUACUAUGCAGAAAAACUAAUUGUUUUUUUUACAGAAAAUACUAAAAAUGAAAAAUUGGAUACCAGGGAGCAGGAGAAGAAGGUCCAGGUUGAUUGAAGCCACCAUGUUGAGAAGUGGUUGCGUUCGGUGUCAUAUAGCCAUGUCCCGGCUGAGGUUGAUGAAUAAAGGAGUUCUGAUGCCUGAAUAAUAUUCAAAUAGUUAAACAUAGAACUGUUAUUCUCACAAAAAAGAGAGAUAGAGAGCUCAAAAAGACUUGAAAGAUCCACGUCAAUUUUGGUCAAGUUCAUUGUUUUCAUGAUUAAAAAAGUGUAUAUUCGAGGUUAAUACCUUUGAUUCAUUGGAGGUUGAGGUCCAGGUAGCAUCGUAGGCACUUGAUUGCUCAUUGGUAACUGAUAAUCAGUCCAUUGUUGGUCCCUAAAUGAGCAACAUUUGUUGGUGAUUUCUUUAUACAUAUGCAUAAUUCUUUGCUAUUAAUCCACUAAGCAUUUGAUAUCAUUUUAGCUUACCUCAAAGGCAUUGAUGGUCCAGGUAACAUGGGAUUGGCACAUUGAGGAUCAAAUAAAUUGGGAUUAGACUGAUACCUAUAUUCAAACAUAAUGAAUUCACUGAUAAGUACAACAACAAGAGGAAGAAGAAGAAGAAGUUAAAUAAUGAUUGAAAAACUUUUUUUUUUUUUCAGAAAAUACUAAACAUGAAAAAUUGGAUACCAGGGAGCAGGAAAAGAAGGUCCAGGUUGAUUGAAUUCACCAUGUUGUGAUGUGGUUGCGUUCGGUGUCAUAUAGCGAUGUCCCGUCUGUGGUUGAUGAAUAAAGGAAUUAUGAUGCCUAAUUCAAUGGACAUUGUAGCAAAUUGGAGUAAGCAUGAGUUCUCACCAUGGUUUCAGGAAAUGAAGUUGGAAACUGAGUUGUUUGUUGAAUACUAUCGUUGAUCACAAUGUUCUGUCCACCUUGAUCAUUGCAUAAUAUGGAGCCUUGGUUGACGUCAGCCGGCCUGCUUCCAUGGAAUAAGAUAGAGGAUAAACAGAAGAAUAACUAAAUUGCAAGCAAUCAUCUUCUGAUAAAAUAUGCUUAAGAAUGACGUACGGUGUCAUAUAGAGAAGUGGUGAUUGAAGACCGAAAAGAUCAUCAUCCAUAGAAGAUGGUGGGAACCCUUCCAUCUGACCAAAAGUACAAGAUGAUUAGUACAUACUGAGGUGAAAAAUGAACAGAAAGCACGUAGCAAAGGAAAAAAAAGAGUAUAUAUAUAUGAGUGGAUUACUGGGUACACACGUUACGUAAGUCAAAAUAAAAGAAAAACAAAUAAAUGGUGAAAAGCAUGUUUUAAUGGCAGUCCCAUUAAUUGGAAAAGAAAAGGGUGAAUCUAAGAAAAGAAAAGCCUAUUUUUUUUAUUUUUAAUAUUAAUAUAUCAAAAAAUAUUAAUUUAAUAGUUUUUUUUCAAAAUAAACAGAUUUUCAAAUGCACUCAAACAUAAUUCUAAGUACAAAAACAAAUUAUAUUUUGCUUGCGGGCAUAACAAUCCUGGCAGUACCGUUGCCGUUUUUUAGUUUACACAUUCUCUGGAGUGUCGAUUCCACAUUGAAGCAAAUUAAAAGAAUAAAAGCAAAUAUUAAAUGAUUUAAUAAAAGUGACUAAUGAAAAAGGUGCUUAAAUUCUACAAACAGCAGAUGGAUAGUCGGAAUCCCUUGAACACAUUUGAUAUUUUAAUUAUUCUUAUUUUGUUUAAUGUAAGGUAAUUACCAAUCAAGUUAAUUCAUUGAAUCAUUGUAAGGAAAAAAAAAGUUGAAAAAUACUGAAUAAAAAUGAAUUGCAGUCCCAUUAAUUGGAAAAGAAAAGGGUGAAUCUAAAAUGAGUUAAAAACACUACUUUACCUACCCCAAUUAUGAAGCUUAUAAGAAGAUGCCUAGAAAAUGUAAACACGUGAAUAUGAGAACCAAUAAUAUACUUUUCUUUUUAAAAAAAUUUUAUUUAAAAAAAUUAAAAUAAUAAUUUUUUUUAAAAAAAUUAUUUUUAAUAAAAAAAUAAUAAUUAAAAAAGAAAAAAAAUUCAAAGUUUUUGAAAAGCAUGUGCUCUAACAAUAACAUAUUAAAUAUGUGAUUAAUAGCAUGUGAUUAAAGGUUUUCAGUCGAUGCCAUUACAUGCAGUCAAAGACUCCAUCCUUACUUUUAAUAAACAAAACCUACACUCAAUAAUAUGUCCUAGUUUUUUUGGCCAGUGUUUUUCCGUGGUUUGAUUAAUUUUUUUAAAAUAUAAAAAUAAAAUGUUAAGAGUGAAGAAAGUUUGCGAGCGAUAUUAUUAAACCUAGUCAGGGAAGUUAAUAUUAAAAUCUUCUAACCUAAUUUUUUAUUUAAUUUAAAUUUUUCGAAGGACGAAAUUAAAAAAAAAUCAAUUACAAAAAUUAAAAGAAAAGAAAAAAAAAACAUAUUCGAUCAAUGAGUAAACCUGUCAAACUUGUGAAUCAAGUAAUUUGGGUUAGUACAUCAAACCCAUGAACCAGGUUAUGGACUUAACUAAGAUUAUAAUUAUUAAAUUUUUUUUUUUUUUAAUAAUAUGAUAACAAAAAUAGAUAAUUGUAAAAUUAAACACCAACCAUACACAUACACACACACUAAUUCGGCAAAACUAUGAAAUAGACAAAAAAAAUAAUUUAAAAAAAAUUAAAAAAAAGGGAAAAAAACAAAAAAAAGUAAAACACUGUCAAUUACUAUUAUAAUUCAUAAUGAAAUGAGUGUGGGUGAAUAGUGAUUCUCUUACACCUUUUAGUUUUUCUUUUAAUUAAUAAAUAAAAAAAAUAUCUCACCAAACCUAAAAUCUAGUAUAAUUUGAAUUAUUUUAACAAACCUGUAAAUCAGGUUAAUCUUAUAAAAAAAAUAGAAUAAAAAUUAAUAAAUUGAAGCUGAAUUAUAACCUGCCUAUAAUAAAAUAAACAAAAACAAUUUUUUUUUUUUUAAAAAGGGCAAAACACCUUGAAUUACGUACUAUUGUAAUUUACAAUGAAAUAGGUGUGGAUAUAUAGUGAUUCUCCCAAGUCUCUUAGCUUUUCUUUUAAUGAAAAUUAAUAACCGUAUAAUAUACUUUCUUGUGGAUGCUCUAUCGUUGCUAAAUUAAAACAUAUAUAUAUUUUUUUAUCUACAUCUAUGUGAAACUUUUUUAAAAUAAAAAUAUUUAAAAAGAUAAUGUUAAAAAAAAACAUUGUUAUUUUAUUUUUAUUUUUAAUAAAUACCAUCAUAAUAUGAUAUGGUUUUCUUUUUUACUCAGGUUAUUCAGUUAAUAUGUGAGUCAACCAGUAAACUAAACUUUGGAAUACGUUUCUUAACUAUUCGUAAGCUUCUUAUUUAUUCUUAGUAAUUAAAAUAUUUUUUUAUUUUUAAUAUUAAUAUAUUAAAAAAUAUUAAUUUAAUAUAAUUUUUAAAUAAUCAGAUUUUUUAAUAAACAUAACUCUGAGUACAAAAACAAAUUAUGUUUAGAUUGCGGGCAUAAGCAUAACAAUCUUGACAGUACCGUUGUUGUUUGGACUUUGAGAAUGAUAAAACAAAAGAGUUAGAAUAAAUUUAAAAUAAAAAAUUAAUUUUCUAAAAAUACUUUUAAAAUAUAAAAACAAACUAAUGAUAAAAUAGACUUUCAUACACUUAUCAAAAUCGCAGGAACGCAACAAUCAGGCAUUAGCUUCAAGCAACCAGAGGGAGCUUCACUGCAGUAGAAAACUUCAACAUAGCUUGAUUUGCUAUCCAAUCUGCACACCAUUGGAUAGCAAUUUCUUUUCAUAACAUUUACCUUUGUAAAAAAUUUCUACUUAUUUUUAGUUUUAAUAUCAAAUUCAGUCUUUAAUAUUUAUCUUCAAAAUUUUAAUAUAAAAUUUGACGGUCAAAAUUUCACUUAUUUUUAAUCAAUUAAAUUGAACAAAAUUUUGUUAAGUCAAACAUCAACUCUACAUUGAAUUGUUUUUAGUUUUAAUAUCAAAUUCAGUCUUUAAUAUUUAUCUUCAAAAUUUUAAUAUAAAAUUUGACGGUCAAAAUUUCACUUAUUUUUAAUCAAUUAAAUUGAACAAAAUUUUGUUAAGUCAAACAUCAACUCUACAUUGAAUUGUUUUUCUUCUUAGACCACAAGAGCUCCAUAACAAGUUUAUUGAAAUAAAUUAUCAAAUGAAAUUAAAGGAAUUAUGAUGCCUUGAUGGAGUUUGAGGCCAAUUUUAUAUGAAACUUAAUGAUAAAAAAAUGUCUAAAUCUCCCAAUUGUUGUCUGUUUGUUUAACAGUAAAGAAUUUGAAGAUGCUCGAGAUCGAUACACUAAACAUAAAACUUUUUGUAUAAUACAAACACUUGCUAAUUCAUUGGACAUUGUAGCAAAUUGGAGCACUCACCAUUGUUUCAGGAAAGGACGUUGAAAACGGAGUUGUUUGUUGAAUACUAUUGUUGAUCACAUUGUUCUGUCCACCUUGAUCAUUGCAUGAUAUGGAGCUUUGGUUGACUGGAACCUCCGGUGGUGGCCUGCUUCCAAGGACAGUGACGACAUUAUAUUGUUUUUUGGCAAUAAUAGGAUAAACCGAAGAAUAACUAAAUUGCAAGCAAUCAUCUUCUGAUAAAAUAUGCUUAAAAAUGACGUACGAGAGAAGCUCAAUGUCGGGCAAUAGUGAUUGAAAAUCGAGCUCAUUCCACAUCAUGUUGACAUCCUCCUCUAUAGAAGAUGGUGGGAACCCUUCCAUCUGACCAGAAAAGAUCAGAAAAGAGAAAAAGAACAGAAAGCACGGAUCAGAAAAGAACAUAUAUAUGACUUACUUGUUGGUUAAAGAAAUUCGGAUGAAAAAUAUGAAAUAUAAAUGUUGUUGUUAAUGAUUUAAUCCUGUCUUUUAAGCUAAAUUAUCAUACUCAAAUUCUUUUUAUGAUAGAUAGAAAGAUGCAGGAUAACUGGUGAACAAAAACCUCUUUCAACUCCUCUUUAUUCAUAAUUUGGGGAGCAAAACAAAUGCAAGAUUCAUUGUUUACUGUUAAACAAACCUCUUUCAACUCCUAUUUAUUCUUUUUUAAUUAUUCUUAUUUUGUUUAUUGAAAGGUAAUUACCGAUCAAGUUAAUUCAUUGAAUCAUUGUAAGAAAAAAAAAAGUUGAAAAAUACUGAAUAAAAAUGAAUGGCAGUCCCAUUAAUUGGAAAAGAAAAGGGUGAAUCUAAAAUAAGGAGUUAAAAACGGCAAAGAAUCUUGAAAAGACGAAAACAAUGAAUUUAGUAUUGAUUUAGUAUGAACUCUCUCCACAAGGCAUGGAUUAUAAAAUCCGAGAAAAAGAUCAAUUUAUUUAUCAUGGAUUCCUUUAAAGAUUCAAACCAUACUUACAUAUAUAAAAACAAAAACACCAACAAGAUGAAGUACAAAUAAUUUACCAACAAGAUUCAGGUGCUGGUUUGCUUGAGCAGUAUUCAGCCAAAAAAAAAAGGAAGAGAAAUCACAGAUCACAGAAGAAUAUAUGGUUUAGAAAAAUAAUAAAGUUGCAGCAUACAUAAAUCUAGUUCGCACUGAUCAUGAGAUGUGGAAAGGAAAAUACGGAAUUGUAUAAUGAGAUGAGAUGUGGAAAAGAAUGUUACAGCAGCCGGCUAGAGCGUAUUUGGUAGUGUAGUAACAGUUGUUUUUCAAAUAGUUUUACAUGCUGAAAUACAUGCAAAUGAUAAUAAUAAUAAGUAAUUAACGUAUUGUUUGAUAGGAAGGAAGUUGCCAGGAAGCAACCCAAACAUAUUACAUUACAAGAUAUAGAAAGUUAACGUGUGGACCCGCCUCCAUGUUCACACUUCGAAGAAGCUGCCAAGAAAAUGUAAACACAUGAAAAUGAGAAAGAAUAGCAUAUUUCCGCUUUUGAAAAAUCAUUCAUCACUUUUAAAUACGCAAAUGAUUAUUAAGAAAAUUCAACGACAACAAUACACUCAAGAGCAAUAUUACAGUAAAGAAAUUAAAUCAAUACAGAUAAAUAAAUGAUCCAAAUAUAAUUAAAGAAUCAAUCCAUUUAAUCGAAAAAAACAUGACUGAAUCCAUAAACUACAUGCCCCUCUUUUUCUAAAGGAGGCAGCCCCACUUUUUCAUCACGUCGCCAUGGUCCCCGUGUCCCACACGUUUUUCAGUGACUUUUUGUCAGUUAAAAUUAUUAAAUGAUUUUUGUGGUGAUUUUAGCCCAGCUUUGGGGUAUCAAGUUUCCACGGAGACAAAUUAAAAGAAUAGAAAAAAAUAUUACAUGGAGACAAAUUAAGAGAAUUGAAGAAAAUAUUAAAUGAUUUAAUAGAGAUUAAAAUUUAAUUUUAAAUACAAAUUAAAAUAAAGCAAGGUGACUAAUGGAGAAAGUAGUGGAAUUCUACAAACAGUAGAGCGUCGGGAAUCCUUGCACUUCGCUUUUGAAAAAUCAUUCAUCACUUUUAAAUACGCAAACGACAACAAUAUACCCAAGAGCAAUAUUACAGUAAAGAGAUUAAAUCAAUACAGAUAAAUAUAUGAUCCAAAUAUAAUUAAAGAAUCAAUCCAUUUAAUCGAAAAAAACAUGACUUUUUCAUCAUGUCGCCGUGGUCCCCGUGUCCCACACGUUUUUAAAUGCGUCCAGGCUGGUUCAAAGUGAAUUUCACGACUCCUGAACCUUGACUUGUCUGUGAGAGCUUCAACUCUACAUUGAAAUGCUUUUUCUUAAACUGUGAGACUCAUAAUAAGCUUAUUGAAAUAAAUUAUUAUAAUGAAAUUAAAAACAAAAAUGCUUUAAAAAAAAACAGAGAGACGCCGUGUUUUCUCUAUUGCUACAUGGUAAAAGUCUGAGCAUAUUUAUUAUUAUUAUUAUUAUUAUUAUUAUUAUUAUUUUAAUAAUAUUACUGUUCUAUCUACCGCCUAGAAAUCAAGAACGCUAGUUUCAUUUAAAAGAUUCUAAAGUUCAUAAAUUAGCAGACAGGACGAAAACACAACAAAUCAUACCCAGAGAAGCAAAAGCCAGAAACAAGCUACCUCAAUUCCUGCUCCACCUGGCUAAGAAAUGCAGCGUGCCCACUUGGAAUUACACAUCAUCCAAAUUCCAGGGCAAAUAAUUGGUUGGAAUUGUUUUCUGAGGAGUCAUCUCAAAUUUGAAAAAUAAAAACAGAAAAUAGAUCCAGCAAAUGAUUCCAAAUAUCUUCUAAAAAGAACAAUGAAAUAUGUUUUUUUAUUUACUGUAAGGAAAGAUAUUAAUGGAAAAAAUAAAAAAAUCAAUUUAAAAAAUAUAUAAUAAGUCAAAAUCUAGACUUAAAAUCUAACUAGGUUCCUAGUUGAAUUGAAUAAUUGAGAGUGAAACGUGUCAAGACUGACACGAGUUCAGAAUAGACUCCACAACAGAAAAAACAAAAAAAAACGAUCCAUAUUGUGGCCCGUAGUAGUAUUCCGGAGGAGAGGGUCAAAGAUGGCGGCUGGUUCAAAGGACGAGCUUAAUCUCAUGAAUCAUUUUUAAACCUUUAUAGUAGGAAUUGACACGUGUCCUCUAAACCCUCCUGUCCAUGGUUGUUAAAAUUGCGUUUUAACUUGUAAAAUUGUAUGAUUUUACGAGUCAAAACAUGCAUUACAGGUUGAAUCGCUUGAAAAAAUCAAAAAUGGAUAAAAUCGGGUUGAAAUCAAGUGAAAUCGCGCAACAUCGUGAUUUCAGGACCGAUUUUGCGAUUUUGACAAAAUUAGGCACUGAAACAAAAUUCCCUCCCUCAUGUCCAGCUGUCUUCACUUUUUUUCAGCCUAUUUGGUCCUUGGACUUUAAUUUUCUAGCAAUGUUUCUUUGUAUGAGCUCCAAACUUUGGUGUUUUUUCAAUUGAACCCCCGAUUCCUUUAAUUAAUUAAAUCAAAGUUUAAUUAAGUCCUCAAACUCAUCAAUUCCUUAAUUAAGCUCAUGAUUUCAUUAAUUAAACUAAUCCAAAUUUUAAUUAAAUUCUCAAAGUUAUUAAUUCUUCAAUUUCUAACAAAUUGACUCUCAAAUUUUAUUUGAAUCAUGUAUUUUAAGAUGCUUGAACUAUGUAUGAAUUUUUAUUUGAAGGCUUGAAAUAUGUAUGAAUUUUUAUUUGAAGCAUGAAUUUUUUUUAAUGUAUUUUAAAAUUCCUUACGAUUUUACGAUCCGAGUUUAUGAACGGCUUUCCGUGUCGUGUUAAAAUCGUGAUUUUAACAACCUUGCUCCUGUCCCUCUUCCGAUCCUUGCUAAACCCCUUGUUCUGGUUGUAAUCAUCCAUUAGCGUAAACCUAUGCUUCUCUUGACUUUGAUCCCAAUAAACCAACCCAUAGAGUUGGUGGUAAUGUAAAUGAUAUUACUUUUUAAAUUAUUUUUAUUUUAAAAAAUAUGAAACUAAUUUUAGGCCCCGUUUAUUUGCUGGAAAGUAGUUUAUUUGCUGGAAAAUAGUUUCUUUUUGGAAAGUGAAUUCCGAGGAAAGUGAAUUAUGAGAAAGUAUUUUUCGAUGUUUGGUAGUGUAAUGAAAAAUAAGUUGGAAAACACUUUCCAGUGUUUGGUUAUGUCAUGAAAAAUGAGCUGAAAAAUAAUUUAUUAAUAUUUUAUUUUUCUCAAGUUUAUUAAAAUAAUGAGGAACAAAUCUUACAAAUUAAAAAGUUGAAUGAGAAUGAAAUUGAAAAAACAAAAUCUAAUUUCAUGAAUUAUCUCAAAUAAAAUAAAUAAUAAUCAAAAUAAUAGAGAUCAAAUCUAAAAAAUUAAUAAAAAAUAAAAGAUGAAGAAAUUAAAAUAAUAAUAAUCAAUAUUUCAUAAAUUAUUUCAAAUAAAAUAAGUAACAAUCAAAAGAAUGAGGAUCAAAUUUGAUAGAUAAAAAAUUUCAAUAAAAAAAUGAUAAGGAAAAAGCAAAUAGCAAUUAUAAAAAUAAGGAUCAAAGUUAAUAUAAAAAUAAAAUUUUAAGAGAUGAAAUUAAAAAAUAAAUAUUUAAAACAAAAUAUAUAUAGCAAUCAAAAGUUUGAGGAUCAAAUUUGAUAUAAUCAGCAAAUAAUGAUAUUUUUAAAUUUUUUCCCAACUUCCGGAAAGUGUUUUCCCUCCAAAUUUUUCAGGAAAAUAUUUUCCUGAAAACCAAGUUAAAUUUUUCUUUUACUGGAAAGUGGUUUCCAUUGACCAACUUUACUAUUGGCAAACAAACACAAGAAAGUUUGGGAAGUGAUUUUCCGGAAAUCACUUUCCGGAAAACAAACAUAGCUAAAGGGAAAACACUUUUCUGAAAACCAAGUCAAAUGUUUCUUUGACUGAAAUUAACCGGAAAGUGUUUUCCGUUGACCAACUUUCCUAAUGACAAACAAACACAUGAAAGUUUGGAAAAUGGUUUCCCGGAAACUACUUUUCGAGAAACAAACAUGACCUUAAUGCGUUGGUAUUAACAAAAAUUUUAAAAAUAUUAUAUUAAUAUAUUUUUAUUUGAAAAAUAUUUUAAAAAAACCGUAUGUAGAAUUACUAAACACCCUUAAGCCAGUGAACAAAGACACUAACGACAAAAUACAAAGGAAAAGGGAUAAAAGCAUAUAUUUGGAGAUGACAAAAGGGCUUUGAGAUCAAAGAGGAUAAGUUUUUUCUUUUUUAAUUUUAAUAAUACUUCUGUUCUUUCUAUCCCAAGAAAUAGAGAAUGCUAGUUUCAUUCAUCAAGAUUCUAAAUCUUAUAUUUAGAUAAAUUAGUAGAAAGGACAAAAACCCUAACAAAGAAAUGCAGCAUGCCCGCUUUGAAUUAUAGAUCAUCCAAAUUCCAGGGUAAAUAAUUCGAGAGUAAUUUGAUAGUGUUUAUAGAUUAAUUAAUGAUAUUUUAUUACUUUUUUAUAUUUAUUUUAAAAAAUAAAGAGAUACAACUAGAAAAAGAAAAAUUCAAGAUGAAAAUAUUCUUAUUAUUUUUUAUGAGUCAUGAAUUAUAUAUAUAUAUUUUUAAAUGAAUCUAGAUAAUAACUAAUAAUAUAUCCCUAGUGAUUCCCCUAAUCAUUAUAAAAUAUUGCGUGGGAAAUGCAGGUGAAGAAUUAGAAACAAGGAAAAAUGUCGAGACAAUGAAAAUUAAUUGUUAUAUAAUUGUACAUGGCAUACACUUUAAAGCUCCGAACCUCAGUAAAUGAUUUAAUAGAGAAUAAAAUUUAAUUUUAAAUGCAAAUUAAAAUAAAGCAGAGUGACUCAUGGAGAAAGCACAACUGGAAUUCUACAAACAGUAGAGCGUCGGGAAUCCUUGCACACCUUUGGUAAUUUAAUUAUUCUUAUUUCGUUUAAUAACUCAAAUAUAAUAAAGAAUUAAUCCAUUUAAUAGAGAAAACAUGACUGAAUCCAUAAACCACAUAAAUCCCUUUUUCUUAUCUGGUGCAAUUCCCAUGCGUCUUCUUUAUUCCAAAUGCCCCUCUUUUCAAAUUAGGCAUCUUCAAUUCAAUCUCCUUUUUCAUCACGUCUCCAUGAUCCCCGUUGUGUCACAAACAAAUUGCCUAAAGUUUAGGACUUUUUAUUGACAGCCACGUACAUGCUUUAGGAGUUUCUUUUUUGAAAUCCUCAUUAGAGGCUAAUUUAUAGCCUUUCAAGAUACCUUUCCAACACGUCAAGAAUCACAGCAAUCCGAUAUGUGAGUGAAAAGUUAUGAUUAAAAUACUAAAAUGUGUGGAAAAGAUACCUUUCCUACGACUUUGCUAAAAUUAUCUGACAAAUUAUCAGGCUUAUAAAAAAGCUUAAUAAAAUCAGAAAAAAAAAUCAUUUUUAUUCAAUAAAAUAAAAAAGAAAACUCAGGUAAUAAAUGUUCAAUUCACUUUCCAGCCAACAAUAAAAAAUGAAAGUAUUUUUAUUCAAUAAUACUUCUUGGCUUACAAAUAAGCUGCCAACAAUUAUAUAAGAAUCAAAUCUCUCCGAUCACAUGAUCGUUUAAAAUGCUCAACACUUAGAAAGCAAAUUUACAGAAUAAUAAGUCUAGCAAACUUCUUGAUAUAUAUAUAUUAUUCAACCAAAUAAUUGCUUGUGACAUAUAGGUGGCGAGCUUCCUAGUAUUAAAAAUUUAAGAUCAUCAAAUAAUUAAACUUUUUAUCCAAAGCAAUAAAUUUUAUGUGUCUAUUUUAAAAUUUGGUUUUCGAAAGAAAAUCAAAAUGACAUAUCAAACAAUACCUAUAAAUCUUUUAUAUUACAGAUUAACUAUAACACCUAUUUAUCAUUCUUAAGGUCAAUAUUUAGGAAUAAAUGAAUAAAAGCUACGUAUCAAUAUUUAAUUUAAGUAAUCUCAAAGACUACUAAUUUAGCUUUUGAUAUUAAAAGGGCGUAUGUCGUUACUCUCUGCCUAGUUGAUGGGGAAAAUAUCAGGUCUUCUAUCUCCACCACUCCCUGCUAACUCUUUUCCUCAUAUCUUACGUUAUAUCUAUCAAGUUUGCUUAAUUAAGAUGGAAUAUUUAUGACUUUUAUAUGUAUUAAAUCAAUUUAAUUGUUUUGACUUAUCAUGAUCAACAUGAAGUCAUCAUAUUAUAAAACCAAAAAUCAAUGGUGUAUCUAAUUAUCAAAAAGGUAUAAAUAUUGCUAUGAAGUUAACGUGUGGACCACCCCAAUUAUGAAGCUCGGAAGAUGCCUAGAAAAUGUAAACACGUGAAUAUUGAAAACAAUAACAUACUUUCCUUUUUAAAAUGUUUUUUAUUUUGAAAAAAAAAAUUUAAUAAAAAAAUUAAUAAUUUAAAAAGUAAAAAAAAUUCAAUUUUGUUGAAAAACAUUUGCUUUAACAAUGACAUAUUAAAUAUGUGAUUAAUUAAGAGCAUGUGAUUCCUUUUGUUUUUAGUUGUUUUUUCAAAAAAAGAUAUAUAGAUUUUUUUAAUGUUUUUUUUUAUAUAAUUUUAAUGUAUUAAUAUUAAAAAUAAAAUAAAUAAAUAAAUAAAUCAUGUAGUCUAUUUCCAAACCAAUCUAAUAUUGGAGGUCGAAAUUAAAAAAAAAACCAAUUAAAAAAAUUAAAAGAUAAAAUUAAAAAAAAAAAACAUAUUCGAUCAGUGAAUAAAUAUAUUAAACCUGUAAAUCAGGUAACUUGAGCUAACACAUCAAACUUAUUAACAAGGUUAUGGAUACCAAUUGAGUUACUUUUAGGAUAUUUUUUUGGCAGCCACGUAUAUGCUUUAGGAGUUCUUUUUAUUAAAUCAAUAUUAAAGUAAAAAAAUUAAAUCAAUACAGAUAAAUAAAUGAACUAAAUGUAAUCAAACAAUUAAUCCAUUUAACAGAAAAAACAUUACUGAAUCCAUAAACUACAUUAAUCCCUUCCUUUUCUUGUUUUUUUUUUUUUCUCUGGUGGAAUUCCCACACGUCUUCUUUAUGGGCAGCCCCACUUUUAAACCCUCUUUUUCAUCACGUCCCCAUGGUCCCCGUGUCCCACACCUUUUCAUCAAAAACCUAAAUUUUAGGACUUCUUUGGCAGCCAUCUAACAAUAUAUAAAAAUAAUAUUUUUAUUUUUAAAAAAUUAUUUUUAACAUCAAUACAUUAAAUAAUCUAAAAAUAUAAAAAAAAUAUUUAAAAAAAUCAAAAUUUUUAAAAACACAAGCAUUCCCAAACAAGAUAACGCGUCAAGAAUCACAACAAUCUGACAUGUGAGUGGAAAGUUGUGAUUAAAACACAUUACUACUUUUAGAUUGAUUUUGACAGCGUAGCAGGAAACGUCAUUAUUGUUAUUUUUAAAAUAUUUUUUUUAUUUAUAAAUAUAUUAAAAUAAAAGUUGUUAAUUUCGUUUCGUUUUAUUUGUAAUGAUUUCAUACUAAUUCAAAAAAUGAAAUAAAACAAAAUAAUUUUUAUCUUAUUUCAAAUAUCAGUCCCUUCCAAAUUUUUCAGCUAAAUUCCGUUUAGAAUGUUCCGGUUUCAUUCCACAUGUUCUGUUCUGGUCUUAAAAAGCUAUUGAAUCAAAUUGAACCUGGUUCAAUUAAUUAAUUAAACCAUCAAAGUAUAAAAAGCUCUUUUUCAUUACUAUUUUCAUUAACUAUGAUAUUAAUUUUUUGAAAUUUGAUUUAUCACUAAUAUUUAUGGUUUAUAUUCAUGUUGUUUUUUUUCAAGUUUAUACUUUGUAGGAAUUUAAGCAAAAAAAAUAGAUGUUUUAGAUCUCAUUAGCCUUGAUAACAUUGACCUAGCUUUAUAUUUAAAAUAUUAGUGUUAAAAUAUUUUAAUUUCAUAAUAUUUUGAUAUUUUAUUGAAGUUGAAUUGUUUUAAGUUAAAAAAUUAUUUAAUUUUAACUAUUUAAAAAUAUUUUAAAUUUUAAAAUUAUAUUUCAUCACGUCUCCAUGAUCCCAGUUGUGUCAAAAACAAAUUGCCUAAAUUUUAGGCUUUAGCAGUUCCUUUUUUGAAAUACUCAUUAGUGAAAUUUCACGACUCCAGCUGGGCCUUGACUUGUCUGUUUAAUUUCUAUUAUUUUUAUUCCAUUUUAGCAUUUUAGCAUUUAAUACUCAUCAAAACCACUAAAACGAAAUCAAGCUCUAGCUUCAAACAACCAGAGGGAGAUUUUAUAGGGAUAAAAUUUUAAAAAUCACGCCUAUGCUACUUUCUAGUUUUAGUAUUAAAUUUAAUAUUUAAAAAAUGUGUUUAUGAAUAUGGGAGUUUCAGGUUUAGAAACCAAAACUGUCAUAUUCAUACUCUCUCUUAGACAUUUUAAAAAUGUGUGUAGAAGAAUACUUUCACUGAUGAUUUAUAAUAUUAGGUUAGUUUAAUGAUAAAUCAAUAUAGUAUUUUUUUUAUUUCUUGGAUUUUCAUCUUGGAGAAAUUCAAUAGGAUGAAAAUAUAAUAUUAAUCAAACUUCAAAUUAUAAUUGUUUAUCUAUCGAGUUAAAAAAAAAUAUGACAAUUCAGUAGUCUUUAAUGAAAUAAAACAAAAUGAAAAAUGUUAUUUAUGUAAUUGUAAGCAUACUAUAUUAUAUUACUUUUACAAAGGGACGAAGGACAUCCUUUGCGUUAGGAUGCUCCCACUCCACUACUGACUCCCACCAUUCUUCUGGAUAUACCACAAUUUCUUUAAGAGAAGGGGGAGGAGAUGGCUGGCCAUUUUCAAGCAACGGAAGACAAAUUGGCAUCCUCUUCAGCUUCUCACAAGACAUUACACUAAUAUCUUCAAGAGAAUUGCAAAUCAGUUUUGCACUGCAAAUGCUUUUCAGUUCUGGUAAGUAAAUCAAUUCCAGAGUUUUUAACUUUGGGAGAAUGACUUCCGUGAUGGAAUUGGAGGUGCUGCUUUCUUCAUCUGUUGUUCCUAUUAUCUCCUCCAUUUUCUCACAGCACCUCACAUCAAUCCUUUCCAGGUUUACGAGGAUUGGCAGCAACACAAGUGGGAACAGCUUCUUCAUACUUUUACACCAUCCACAAUUAAACUCUUUAAGACCAGAAAACGUACCGUUACAUGAUGGCAAUCGUGGUGGAGCAGAGCAGAACCAAGAAGAUGAAACCAAGCUCUCCAUGUUAUCGCAUUCCCGAAUGCUGAUGCGCUCCAGUUCAGUUGCAUUCUCUAAUGACAAAACAUCACAUAAACUUCUUGCAUCGAUGCAUUCACAAAUCAGUCCUUGAAUGCCAUUUAAGAACUUGACCUGAAAAUCUCUAUCUCCUUUGAUACUCAAAUUACCCAACCCAACUGUUUUACUUGGAAAACGUUCAAUGCGUUGCUCUAAAUAUCUAUCCACCUCUGCUACUAAAAUCUUGCAUGUGCUUAAUGAUAGGAUCCCAUCCCGAGAUCUGAGAUACUCCACGAAGUCAGAAAAACCUUCGAAAUGGCACUCCAAAGUUUCCAAAUUUCUCAAGGAUCCUACUUCCUUUCCUUUAACUGUUAUCGGAGCAUAACAUUCCCCUAUAAACUCUUCUAGUACAAAGACUUGCAGGUGAGAGAGUUUUGGUAAUAUCCCACUAGGAAACUCCUUUUCACCAUAUCCAUUCAUUCUAAGAUACCUCAGGUUGGUUAGGCAUUCCAUUCCUUGCGGUAUCUUUUCAAGUGCAGUAUGAGAGAGACUCAAUCUCUUCAGUGCCUGGAGCUUCUCUAAUGAUGGAACACGUCUUAAUUUCUCACAAUGAUUGAGCAAUAAUGCUGUGAGGCUCACCAAAUCAGAAACAGAGUCUGGCAAAUUUCCAAUAUUUGUCCAAGACAGAUCAAGGACCUUAAGCCCAUGCAAUUGCUUGAAAAAUGAAUCCGCAAUAAAUCCCAACCAAUGAUUUUGACAUAGCAAUAGAGUUGAUAGAUAGGGACACCUAGGUGAAUGACUGGAAGGAAUUUCUUCGAUCAUGUUGUCCAUUAGUGAAACUCUCGUCAGAUUCUCCGUCCACUCCUCUGCAUCUGGCAACUCUUCUAAUUGUGCACCUGCUUUGACCAUGCCUUGAGAGUUCUCUAGCAGUAUUUGGAUAGCCAUGUCCCUAAUCAAGUCAUGCAUCUUGACACGUCUAAUAUCAUCAUACUUCCUUGUAGCACUUUCCAAUAGGCAGACAUUUUCAAGUCGAUUAAGCAUCGUGUGGCCCUCAUCAAAUGCAUCUCCCCUGCUCCUCUUUCCUUUAAUUAUUCCCUCAUCGAUCAAAUAACCUAUCAACUCCCCCCUUUUAAUCUCAUCAUCUUCAGAAAAUAAUGCACAGUACAAGAGACAUUGUUGUAGUGUUAAAUCACCUAACCGAUCAUAACUAAACCUCAAUAACUUGAAUACUUCAUUGUCCUUAAAUUCUGAUUCUCUCAAUUUGUUCAAUGUAUUUCUCCACUCAUAUAGGUCAUCCACUCCCCUCAAGCUUCCUGCCACUGUAAUAAUUCCUAAUGGCAAACCAGCACAUUCCCUUGCAACAGCUUUCGCAAUUCUUUCCACUUCUGGUCAAAGUGCUACAUCACGUUGAAGCUUCUCCAUGAACAAAGUCCAAGCUUCUCCAUUAGAAAGUGGCUUCACUUUGAUUUUGUGCUGGCAAGCCAUCCGAUGACAAAUCGUUUCUGAUCGAGUUGUCAUAAUCAGCUUGCAUCCUUCCAACUUUUCAGGAAUUCCCACUUUGUGUAGCUCAAAAUUGUUCCACAAAUCAUCUAAAAUGAGAAUCCAUUUUUGUUUCUUCCUUAGUUCUUCUGACAAUUUGGCAGCUCUAUGCAGUUCAUCAUUUUUUCUUGAAAGAUCUAGAUCGAGAUGUUCAGCAAUAAGAUUCUGCAAUCUAUUAAUGCUGAAAUCUUGAGACACGGUCACCCACCAAACAUUAUCACAAAUAUCUGGUCUUUGUAGAAGCUCAUUAUGGAUAUGUUGCAGUAUUGUGGAUUUACCAACUCCCCCCAUCCCAUAAAUGCCAAUGGUUGAGACUUUCCCAUCCAUUAACAAAGACCAUAUCACCUUCGUAUUCUCUUCGAAUGCUUGACCCACCGGCUUUGUAGAGCUAGUAGGUAAUGGAACUCCUCUAGUCUUGUUGUAUUUCAGACUUUCAGAAGAUCUAGCUCCAGCACCAACCUGCACUGAUCUUUGACUAUUCUCCACAUCCUCCUCCACUGGUUCUGUCCUCGCUCUAACCCGAUUAAUUCUCUCUUCCCCGGCACCUUGUUCCAGCACCCCCUGAACUCCAACUUGUAUCCUUCCAGCACCCCCCGCCAAAUUGCCAAGUACUGCAUUGCUUUGUUCCAACGAUCGAUCCACUGGUUCUGUCCUCGGUCUGCUCUCGAGUGCCCCUUCGGAAACUCCAUCUUCUUGUGCUCUCAUUCCGGUCAUGCUUACUGCGUCGUUUCCCGCUAUUGCAUGUGAAGUAAUCCUCUCUUCCCCUACUCCAGGUUCUACAACCUGAACUUCUCUUUGUACCCUUCCAAUUCCUCCUACCAUUCUUGAAAUUCCACAAUCAUUAACAUUGAUUGAACCUGCUGUGAUUUUAUGUCUUUUGUUGCCACCACACAUAGCUUUCCAGGCUGCUUCUUGAACUUCUUUAGGCACCCCAUGACAAAUGGCAACAUUAUGCCCUUCCUCUCCUGAUAAAUGCCAUUUGAUCCUUGAAAUGGAGGUUUUAUUGGCAAAUGUGUGUUGACAAAACUUACACUUCAUGCUACCAUCAGUCCUAUCUUCAAUAUAAUUCCAAAAUGAAUCCUUUGAUCGAACCAUUUCAACCUAUAUAAAAAAUGUAGAAAUGUAAAGAACUAUAAAGAGCUGCCCUGCAUUUACUGAUGAAGGAAAAGAACAGUGAACUUAGUUCACGAUUGAGAAGAACAAAUGCUUAAGUAAAACACAGAGCUUUGAUUAUCAAAUGUAAAGAACAAAGAGCAGAAUUGAGUUAGUUGGUUACUGCCAUCCCAAGUCUUUAUUUAUAAAGGGAAAGAAACAGAAUUUGAAUGGAAAACAAUAACUAGAAACGUGCCUGCCUUCUUCUCCUUUAUUUAAGGAGAUGAUUACAAGUUAAUUCAAUCCUAGAUAAUCUUAACAAAGAAAUCAAAAACAUAUCCUACACUAGAUAAUAGUCUCAGCUAAAAUAAAGAAAUAAUGCAGCAGUGAAUUACUGCUAAGUCUUCUGCUUCUGCUAGCUUAGGUACCAAGCUUCAACACUCCUCCUUGGUUCCAAAGCUAGUCAUUCCAAUUCUUGCCCUUAGAUCUUCAAACCUGGUUUUACCCAACGGUUUGGUGAAAAGAUCUGCUAGUUGAUCUUCAGAAGUGCAGUAGCACAGUUCCAGUUCUCCUUCUUGUUGAAACUGCCUGAGUGCAUGAAACUUGAUCUUCAUGUGCUUGGUUUUAUCAUGGAAGACAGAGUUUUUAGAAAUGGCUAUAGCUGAUGUAUUGUCACAAAACAAUGUUGUGGGAUUGUGUUGAUUGCAGUCUAAGUCACUUAGCAUCUUCCUCAGCCAUAUCAGUUGUUUUGCUGCUACAUAAGCAGCUAUAUAUUCGGCUUCUGCAGUAGAAUGUGCCACCACCGAUUGUUUCUUUGAAUUCCAGCAAAACAUACUCUUUCCCACAGCAAAACAGUAGCCUGAUGUGCUCAUCAUUCCUUCAUCACUUCCUCCCCAAUCACUGUCUGAAAAACCAACAAGAUUAAUUGAGCCGGACUUCACAAAGUGUAUGCCAAAACCUGCAGUCCCUCUUAGAUAUCUUAAUACUCUCUUAGCUGCCACAAAGUGAUUUUGACUUGGCUCUUGCAUGAACCUGGAAAGAUAAUUCACAGCAAAUUGAAUGUCAGGACGUGUGGCUGCUAAAUACAGCAAACUCCCAAUUAGACUCCUGUAGAUUUUCCCAUCAGCUUUUGGUGAGCCAUCCUCUUUCAUUAGCUUCUGCCCCUGUAUCAUAGGAGUGCUUACUGGCUUGCAAUUGUUCAUUGCAAAACUGUCCAGUAUUUUCAAAGAAAAACGUUGUUGACAAAGAAAAUAACCUUGAUCAGUUUGAGUUACUUCCAUUCCUAAAAAAUAAGUCAACAAACCAAGUUCAUUCAUCUCAAACAUGUCUUUCAUAUUGGUUUUGAAUUCCUCUACAAGCUGCUCCUUAUCCCCUGUGAUUAGUAAAUCAUCAACAUAAACUGAUACAAUUAGUUUAUGUCCAGCAGCAUGCUUCACAUAUAAAGUUACCUCAUUCAUGCUCCUGUUAAAUCCCAAGCUUAAGAGAUGAUUAUCCAACCUGCUAUACCAAGCUCUAGGAGCUUGUUUCAAUCCAUACAAUGCUUUCUUCAGUAAAUAAACCUUGUUUGUUGAAUUAGAUUUUUCAAAACCAGCAGGCUGCUCAACAUAAAUCUCUUCAUCUAGCACCCCAUUCAAAAAUGCAGAUUUAACAUCCAAUUGAAAUAUAUACCAACCGUUUUGUGCUGCUAGAGCAAGCAGGAGUUUCAUUGUUUCAUGUCUGGAAACUGGAGCAAAAGUUUCUGUGAAGUCGAUCCCUGCCUCUUGUGAAUAUCCUUUCACUACAAGUCUGGCCUUAUGCUUGUUGAUCUUUCCAUCUGCAUUUACUUUUGUUUUGAAAAUCCAUUUCACUCCAAUCACCUUCUUAUGAGCUGGUCUGUCAACUAGCAUCCAUGUUUGAUUCUUGUCUAUCAUUGCAAGCUCCUCCUUCAUUGCUGCUAUCCAAACUUGAGAGUUCAUGCUUCUUCAACAUUUACUGGUUCUGCCUCGCUACAUUGCACCUGCUAUAGAUAUCUGAUAGAGAUCUUGUCCCUCUUACUGGUUGAUCAUCACUGUUUUCUGCAGCAUCCAAGUCAGUUUGUUGCUCAAUAUUCCCAGCAACAUCUGUUUGUUGAUUAAUCAUGUUUGCAUCAUCCAACUCAUCUUGUUGCAUCGGUUUUGAUUCUUCAUUUGAUGAAUUUUUCCAGUUCCAAGCUGCAUUUUCUACAACUUUGACAUCUCUAGCAACCACCACUUUGUUAACAUUCAAAUCAUAGAUUUUAUAAGCUUAGAAUUUGUACUAUAGCCUAUAAGAAUCCCUAUAUCAGCCUUUUGAUCAAGUUUCCUUCUUCUGACUUCAGGUUUCAGAACAUAACAAAUACUUCCAAACACCUUUAAAUGAUCAAUACUGGGUUUAAAACCAUACCAGAGUUCAUAAGGAGUUUUAUCUGCCAAAACUCUUGAAGCCAUUCGGUUUAUAAGGUAUGCUGCUGUGUUUACUGCUUCUGCCCAGAAAUUCAAUGGCAACUUCUUCUCAUAGAGCAAGCAUCUAGCCAUCUCCAUCAAUGUUCGGUUUCUUCUUUCACUUACACCAUUCUGCUGUGGUGUGUAGGGAACAGUCAGCUGGUGUUUAAUCCCUUCUUUAGCAAGGUAUGCUUCAAAUUGUCGAGAGGUAUACUCUCCUCCAUUGUCAGAUCUCAAAGUCUUCAAUUUGUUUCCUGUUUCUAGUUCAACUGCUGCCUUGAACUUAACAAACUCAGCAAACACAUCAGCUUUGGAUUUUAGAAAAUAAACCCAGCAAUACCUGCUAAAAUCAUCAAUAAACAGAAGAAAGUACUUUGAACCAUUUAAUGAUUCAUUGUGCAUAGGUCCACACACAUCUGUGUGUACAAGCUGAAGUUUAGAUACUGCCCUGUAUGCAUUUUCUGGAAAAACAGUUCUGGUUUGUUUUCCCAGCUGACAAGCCUCACAUAUAGUUUGCUGCUCCUGAAUAUUUGGCAACCCGUGAGCCAUCUGCUGGUCAGCCAUUCUUUUUAAAGUAGCAUAAUUGAAGUGUCCCAGCCGUUUGUGCCAAAGAACAGAUUCCUUGCACUCAUAAGUAUUAGCACUUAAACACACUUCAUUCCAAUUAACAUUAAAGCUUCGGUUCAUCAUUUUUGCAGACAGUAAAAGCAUUCCAUUUCUAUCUUUAAUGUCACACACUCCAUCAUUAAAAACUAUUGAAUAUCCAGAUUCAAUCAAUUGACCCACACUAACUAGAUUUGGUUGAUCUUAGGCACAUAAAGAACAUUUUUAAGAAUUUUUGUACCUGACAGUGUUUCUACUGCAAUUGCUCCUUUUCCUUCAACUUUCACAAGUCUCCAUUGCCAAUUCUGACUUUAGACAGGUAGCUUCUAUCCAAGUCUCUGAAUAAGCUUAAGUCUGCUGUCAUAUGAUUAGUGCAGCCGCUAUCAAUGAGCCAUGAUGAGUCCUUUGUCUCUGCUGAAUUACAUAUGUCCUGAACUGUGACCAUGAAUAGAAGUUCUUCUUUGACUUCUGAACAAUCGGCUACUUGUGCUUGUUGUUCAGUUUCUGUUUUAUUUUUGCAGAAUCUUUGAUGUGACCAAAUUGCUUGCAUUUUCGGCAUUGAGCAUUCUUGAGCCAACACCAGGCUUCAAGAUGAUUGUUUUCUGACAGUAUUUGCAAGCAGGAAAAUGUUCUUUCUUCUCUUUCCCCCUCAUGAAACUGUUAUUGUUGUUCUGUUGCCAGUUAGCAGAUUUCCAGUCUCUCCCUUUUUCUCUUUUUCCUUCUUGAUUAUUUCUGAAGAUGUUCUUAGCCCGACCCUUAUCCUUGUAAACUGCAACAAGAGCUCCUUCACUUGAUCCUUCUUGUCUAUAUGCUUGCCUUUGCUCCACAGCUUGCAAUGCAUUCACCAAUUCUUGCAGCUUAUCUCAGAAAAAUCUUUAGAAUCUUCUAAAGAACAGAUUUUAUGUUCAAAUUUUCUGGCAAACUCACCAGGACUUUCUCUACAAUUCUAGAGUCUGGAAAAUCUUCUCCCAAGAGUCUUACUUGAUUCACAAGUUUUGAAAUUUGAGAAGAGAAAUCUUUGAUGCUCUCAUUUUCUUUCAUCUUCAGACCUUCGAAUUGUCUUCUCAGAUUCAGAAUCUGCAUCCUUCUUGAUUUCUCAUCACCAUGGAACUCUGCUUUUAAUUUAUCCCAUGUUUCCUUGGCAGAUUUGCAUGCCAUGAUCCUCGUGAAGAUGUCUUCACUUACAGCAUUAUGAAGACAAGAAAGAGCUUUGAAUCUCUUUGCCUUUUCUUCAUUAAAGAACUUCAUCUGUGCAAUUGUGGGAUUGUUACCUAGAGGAGUAGGUUGCCUAUCACUUUCCACUAUCUCCCAUAAAUCAAGAGCUUUGAGAUAGGUUUCCAUUUUUACAGCCCACACACCAAAAUUCUGCCCUGCAAACAAUGGUGUUUUUGCUGGAAAAUUUGCAGAAUCCAUUGCUUAAAAAAAAACUCACUCAAUCUCUCGUGUAUCACUCACCAGCCCUCAAAGUAAAACUUUGAUUUAUCCUCACAGUACUCUCGUGUUUCUCACUCACAAAGAAUCCCUUCAAAGAUCAAAAAAAGCUCUGAUACCAAUUGUAGAAAUGUAAAGAACUAUAAAGAACUGCCCUGCAUUUACUGAUGAAGGAAAAGAACAGUACUUAGUUCACGAUUGAGAAGAACAAAGGCUUAAGAAAACACAGAGCUUUGAUUAUUAAAUAUAAAGAACAAAGAGCAGAAUUGAGUUAUUGGUUACUGCCAUCCCAAGUCUUUAUUUAUAAAGGAAAGAAACAGAAUUUGAAUGGAAAACAAUAACUAGAAACGUGCCUGCCUUCUUCUCCUUUAUUUAAGGAGAUGAUUACAAGUUAAUUCAAUCCUAGAUAAUCUUAACAAAGAAAUCAAAAACAUAUCCUACACUAGAUAAUAGUCUCAGCUAAAAUAAAGAAAUAAUGCAGCAGUGAAUUACUGCUAAGUCUUCUGCUUCUGCUAGCUUAGGUACCAAGCUUCAACAAAAAAAAGGUAAGUCAAAAUAAAGAAUAAAAAUUGAUGCAAGUUACACCAUAUCCAGAUGGAUGAGAAACUACUUCUUCAGUGUUGUUACCCUUAUUUUGCUAUUAAAAUUGAUAGUUAGUUUAUUGCACAAUCAUAGGAGGGAAAAAGACGACGAUAAUUCAGUUAUACUUCUUACUUGUUGAGUAUUUAAACCCCUAUUUUGACUUUGCAGGGAAGUGCCAAGGCCAGGAUUUGAGGCAUUUGGCGUAGCAGUUUGAUUUUGCAAUCCUCGAACUUGGAGGUUAUCCAUCUGUGACCUAUAUAUAAAUGAAGUGAUCAUAUUAUAAAACCUUUCCAUAAUUGGUAGUCUCUCUUAAGCAGUAAAAGUUAAUGGUGUUAAAACACAACAGCUAGAAGUCAAUCAGUACCUAGGCACGAAGUUCUCUUGUUGGACAUUGUCUAUGUUAGGAAUUACAGGUCGAUCGACUUGUCCUUGAUUACAAAAAUAUUGACUCCUGAAUCCAAAACCAUUUGCAAACAAUAUGUUUAGCUUGUUGGGUUCAUGUUCAAGCCAUGAUGUUUCUUUCCUGAUUGAAAAACUAAUUUUUUUUUUAUAUAGAAAAUACUAAACGUGAAAAAUUGGAUACCAGGGAGCAGGAAAAGAAGGUCCAGGUUGAAUGAAGCCACCAUGUUCUGAAGUGGUUGCGUUCGGUGUCAUAUAGGCAUGUCCCGGCUGAGGUUGAUGAAUAUUGGAGUUCUGAUGCCUGAAGAAUAUUCAAAUAGUUAAACUUAGAACUGUUAUGCUGACUUGGUUGAUUUUCUAGUUCCAUUAUGUGCACAAAAAAAGAGAGAUAGAGAGCUCAAAAAGACUUGAAAGAUCCUCGUCAAUUUUGGUCAAGUUUAUUGUUUUCAUGAUUAAAAAAGCUUAAAUUCAUUCAUUGAUUUAAUCAUUGAUUCAUUGGAGGUUGAGGUCCAGGUAGCAUCACAGGCACUUCAUUCAUUGGAGGUUGAGGUCCAGGCACUUGAUUGCUCAUUAGUAACUGAUAAUCAGUCCAUUGUUGGUCCCUAAAUUAGCAACAUUUGUUAGUAAUUUCUUUAUACAUAUAGCAUGGGAUUGGCACAUCGAGGAUCAGAUAAAUUAGGAUGAGGCAGAUACCUAUAUUCAAAUAUAAUGAAUUCAUUUAGUGUAAUACAUUGGCAUCACUGAUAAGAAUAUUAGGCAGAUAAGUAGAACAACAACAAGAAGUUAAAUAAUUAUGAAUAUUAUGUACAAGAAGAAUUUAAAUAAUGAUUAUUCUCACUUAGUUGAUUUUCUAGUUUCAUUAUGUGAAGCAAAUCAGGAGACAGGGGAAACAUGGGGAAGGCAAGGACUCUUGAAAGCUGAUUAAAGCUUAUUAGCUGUAGUUAUUAUUUCCUAUUUAGCUGAUAGGUUCCUAGUCAGAUUAGUAUUAGAUUUCAAUUACGUAUUAGAUCGUAAUUCCUUAGCUGUAGGGUAUUUAAGAGGGGAACAGAACAAAAGAUGGGACAUUAUUUGUAUUCUUGGCAAUUACUUUCUUUAAAUACAAAUUGGAGUGAUUCAUCUACAUAGAUAUUCUGUAUUAAAUUAUUUAUUGUUCUUACUGGGAGCAACGAGAGGUUGUACCGGAGGGCAUUUACAUUAAUAUGUGCAUAAAAAAAAAACAGAGAGAGAGAGAAAGAGAUAGAGAGCUCAAAAGAAGUUAAAUAAUGAUGAAUACCUUGAUGGAGUUUGAGGCCAAUUUGGUUCAUUUUGGUUGAUCCGUGAUGAUAUCGAGCUUUGGUUGUCUGGAACCUCCGGUGGCAGCCUGCUUCCAUGGACAGUGACAUUAUUAGGAUAAACGGAAGAAUAACUAAAUUGCAAGCAAUCAUCUUCUGAUAAAAUAUGCUUAAGAAUGACGUACGAGAGAAACUCAGAAAUAUUGAAUGUAUCUUCAAUGGUGUAUCUAAUUAUAAAAAUGAAGUGAUCAUUGUUAAAUAAUAUUUAUGUAGUCUUAUUUAUUAAGGGUAGAAUAGUACUUUCAGUUUAACCUAUAUAUACUUUAUUUGUAUUUAGGUUAAGACUAUGCAUUCAUAAUAAACAGAUUAUUCAGAAUUGUAGCCUCCUUUUUGUGUUUGAUCUCAAUAAGUUUAACAUGGUAUCAGAGCUGGUUUUAUGAAACGAGGCUUAAUCCCAAAUACAGCUUCGCGGAUCCAAUUUUUUUUUGAAGUGAUAUUUUGUCUUCCGCUUCUACAAAAUUGGGUAUUUCGACAGUUUCUAUAAUUAUUUUGGUAUUUCGACAGUUUCUGCAAUUAUUUUGGUAUUUGCAUUCAGUUUUUGCAAAUUUAUUUUGUGUUUUGGAGUAAUCGUAUAAUUUCGAGAAGAUAUUUGUUUAGUUUUUUGCAAUCUCUAUUCAGUUUCUACAAAUUGGUAUUUAGUUUUCCGCUGCUUUUGCAUUCUGGUUCUUUGUGACUGUUGGUUAUGGCUACUGAAAGAGAUGAUUCGCUUCAAUUUGUGAGUGUGAGGUUGGAUGGGAAGAACUAUUCGUAUUGGAGUUAUGUAAUGCGAAAUUUCCUUAAGGGUAAGAAGAUGUGGGGGUAUGUUAGUGGAACUUAUAUAAUACCUAAGAAUAUUGAAGAGGGGGAUGUUGUUUUGAUAGAUACAUGGGAAGCAAAUAAUGCAAAGAUUAUUACUUGGAUCAACAAUUCUGUUGAGCAUUCGAUAGGUAUGCAGUUGGCGAAGUAUGAGACAACAAAAGAGGUUUGGGAUCAUCUGCAAAGGUUAUUCACACAAUCAAAUUUUACAAAACAAUAUCAAUUAGAGAAUGACAUACGAGCUCCUCAUCAAAAGAAUAUGAGUAUUCAAGAGUUUUAUUCUGCUAUGACAGAUCUUUGGGAUCAAUUAGCUCUUACAGAAUCGGCAAAAUUAAAGGCAUGUGGUGCCUAUAUUGAGCGUAGAGAGCAGCAGCAAUUGGUACAGUUUUUAACAGCACUUCACAGUGAUUUUGAAGGACUUAGAGGUUCAAUUCUGCAUCGUUCUCCACUGCCUUGUGUUGACUUUGUUGUUAGUGAGUUAUUGGCUGAAGAAAUACGUCUUUAGUUUUAUUCUGAAAAGGGAAUUCUUUCUGCUUCAAAUCCUUCAUUAUUAGCAGUGUCUUCUAAGCCAUUCUCUAAUCAUCAGAAUAAGUCUUACACAAGGGUUGGCUUUGAUGAGUGCAAUUUCUGUAAGCAGAAAGGUCAUUGGAAAGCUCAGUGUCCUAAGUUGAGACAGCAUAAUCAAGCUUGGAAGUCUGGCAAUCAAUCACAAUCUAAUGCUCAUAGACCACCUCAGGGUUAUAAACCACCACACCACAAUACUGCAGCAGUAGCUUCCUCAAGCUCUAUUACCGAUCCUAAUAUUUUGGUUGAGCAAUUUCAGAAGUUUCUCUCCUUGCAGCCACAAGCAAUGUCCGCUUCUUCUUCCAUAGGUCAGUUGCCUCAUAGUUCCUCAGGUAUGUCACACUCUAAAUGGGCCUUGGAUUCUGGUACUUCUCAUCAUAUGUCUCCAGAUUCCUCAUCUUUUACCUCUGUGCCCCUUUUGUCCUCCAUUCCUGUUAUGACUACUGAUGGCACUCCUAUGCCCUUAGCAGGUGUUGGUUCUGUUGUCACACCUCACUUGUCUCUCACUAAUAUUUAUCUUAUUCCAAAACUCAAAUUAAAUCUUGCGUCUGUUGGUCAAAUAUGUGAUUCUGGUGAUUAUUUAGUCAUGUUUUAUGGUUCGUUUUGUUGUAUACAGGAUAUGCAGUCUCAGAAGCUGAUUGGGACAGGCCGUAGAGAGAAUGGACUAUAUAUUUUGGAUGAGUUAAAAGUGCCAGUUGCUGCUGCCGCCGCUGCUACUACUACCGUUGAUUUGUCUUCCUUUCGUUUGAGUCUUUCAUCUUCUAGUUUUUAUUUAUGGCAUUCCUGUCUAAGUCAUGUUUCAUCCUCUUGUUUGAGAUUUUUGGCAUCCACAGGAGCUUUAGGAAAUUUGAAAACUUGUGACAUUUCUGAUUGUAGUGGAUGUAAAUUGGCAAAAUUUUCCGCCUUACCUUUUAAUCGAAGUAUUUCUGUUUCUUCUUCACCAUUUGAUUUGAUUCAUUCUGAUGUAUGGGGACCUUCUCUUGUUGCCACAAAAGGAGGGUCUCGAUAUUAUGUCUCUUUUAUUGAUGAUCAUACUCGUUAUUGUUGGGUUUAUUUAAUGAAACAUCAUUCUGAAUUCUUUGAGAUAUAUGUAGCUUUUCGAGCUCUUAUCAAAACUCAAUAUUCUACUAUGAUUAAAUGUUUUAGGUGUGAUUUGGGUGGGGAAUACACCUCUAAUAAAUUUUGCCAAUUGCUUGCCUUAGAUGGAACCACCCACCAAACUUCUUAUUGCUGAAAAAAAAACAUAGGCACAUUGUUGAAACUGCUCGUUCUCUCUUGUUGUCUGCCUUUAUUUCUAGUGAGUUUUCGGGAGAAGUUGUUCUUACUGUUGUAAGUUUAAUUAAUACAAUUUCAUCUUCUCAAGUUCGGGUCUGUCUCCUUUUGAAAAGUUAUAUGGGUAUGUUCCUGAUUAUUCCUCAUUUAGAGUCUUUGGUUGUACUUGUUUCGUUCUUCGUCCUCAUGUAGAACGAAGUAAGUUAUCCUCUCGAUCCGCUAUUUGUGUUUUUCUAGGCUAUGGUGAAGGUAAAAAGGGUUAUCGUUGUUUUGAUCCAAUAACUCAGAAACUUUAUGUGUCUCGUCAUGUUGUCUUCCUUGAGCAUAUACCUUUCUUUUCUAUUCCAUCCACUACUCAUAACCUGACUAAAUCUGAUGUUAUUAGUAUAGAUCCGUUUUCUGAGGAUUCUAAUAAUGAUAUCUCUCCCCAUGUUCGAUCAAUUGGUACUCAUAACUCUGUAGGUACUGGUACUUUACUUUCUGGCACACCUGAAGCUCCAUUCUCAUCUACAGCCCCUCAAGCUUUAUCUGAGAUUGUGGAUCCACCUCCAUGUCAGUCCAUCCAUAUUCGUAAGUCUACAAAACUACCAGAUUUUGCUUAUUCUUGUUAUUCUUCAUCAUUUACUUCCUUUUUAGCUUCUAUUCAUUUACUUCCUAUUCGAGCAAUUUUUUUUGUUUCAACUUAGGCUCUGAUUCUGACUUAGUUUCGUACGAUAUGACCAUCCUGGGUAUAUUCUGUCACUCAUUACAUAUUGAAAAAUUGACGUACACCUUUAAUAGGUCCUAUGGAUCAUUGUUCUUAGAGCAGUUUCUCAGUCAGAUUUGGAUGCUCAACAUUGUCGGAUCAAGAACCUUUUUGACCAACUAGAUUACUGCUAGAUUCUGUUCUCUAAAACAAUUUUAUCUCACUUCAACUCUUUCAUCAAAGAUGUAGUCCUGGACGUGUAGAUAAAUUUGGACUUUUGAAUCGCUUGAUUUCAAUAUCAUAAGCUCAAAAUAUUCUUGUUUGAAUAUCUAACGUGAAGGCAGAGAAUUCUGCCGCGAGAAGGAUAUUGACUCGAGUCUGCUCUAAAAAAACUCUAUUUUUGGCCUAGUUUUUGUGAUUUUUGUUCUUAUUUCAUACUCUCAGUCAUAUCAGGAUUCUCGGCAUUCGUCAGUUUUUGAGUUAGACCUGGAGAUCCCUUUUGACCAACUAAAUUACUGUUAGAUUCUGUUCUGUAAAACGAUUUUAUCUCACUUCGACUUCUUCAUUAAAGUUGUAGUCCUCGAUGUGUAGAUGAAUUUGGGCUUUUGAAUCACUUGAUUCCGAUACCAGAAGCUCAAGAUAUUCCCAUUUGAAUAUCUAACGUGAAGGCAGAAAAUUCUGCCGCGGGAAGGAUAUAGCCCAAGUUCGCGGGGCUGAUUCGAAGGAUUUUUUUUGGACCAAGGACUGAAUCAAAAAGUUUUAAAAUGAGGGAUUGAAUUGAAGAAGGAUAUUGAAAGCUGGAGAGGGAGGAUGGAUCAUCAUAAAUGAUAGGAUUUUUUCCACACCAAUAAGGAAAAUGAGACCUUGCAGCUGCACCAUCCAGCUGAUUUUCUUUCCUUUUUCGCUGCAAAUUCUUGCUGUUUUUCCUUUAUCAUCAUGUCUGAUUUUGGGAGCUGCAACCACGUUUUUUCUGGCCUCAUUUCAAAGGGAGCAGCUGACCCUAUGGAAGGAAAGAAAACAACCACACCCUCCUCUAAAACUAGAAAGAAAUCAGACGUAAAGAACCAGCAUAAAGUCAGAAUAUUGCAGCUUCCUUUUGCAUUUUUUUUUACUGCAAAUCAGUAGGGAUUUACGUCCUAGGAUUAAUGCAUUGAAUCCUUCUUAAAUGGAGACAUUUUUAGACUAUAUAUAAGCCCUCUAAUGACCUAACGGGGGCAGAAAAAGAGAGAGCCGAAAGAGAGUAAAAAAUAGCAGAAAGAGAGCAGAAAAAAUAAACGAAAAACGCAAGAGAGGCAGGGAUUGAAAAAACAUAGAUAACAGGGGAACAUUGAGAGUUUGUUUUUUUCUUUGAUCCUUUUCGUCAAAAAGAGAAAGGAGAAUAGGGAGGCAGGCGACAGUAAAACCAGAAAAGCCAAUAGAACAAAAGAGGAAGUCUUUCUUUGGUUUUUUAGAGGCAAAACGCAGGAGCUUUUCUAUCGGGUUGUGUCUCAUCUUUUGCAUUUGAAACGUGCAGGAUCUGCAGGUAUGAGUCCCGACUUCCUUCAUCUUUGUCAUAUUUAAAGCUUUGUUUGGUUUUUGUUUUUCUGUUUGUUGCUUUUUGUUUUGGGGACGUUUAUUUUCAUCUUAGCAACAAAGUGGCUUGCUUGCAUACUGUCCAUCCCAUGUCUUUGAGUUUAGUUUAUUAUCACUGUUAGAGCUGCGUUUUUUUUUUUGUUUUACUCCCUAGUGAUGAGAAACUGUAAGCUUUAAACAUCCCUUUCUCCCGUCGCUCAAUCGUUCUUUUGCAAUGGAACGCUAAUUAGAAGCAAGUGUUUAAUUAGGUGCAGAAGAGAGGGUUGAAAAAAAAACGUGAGGGAGAGUCCCUUUCUUCAGUUAAUGCCGAUUCUGGGUUCACACCGUUUUCUUUCUUUCUUUUCUUUUCUUUUGUUUUUUGAGUUUGCAGGGAGGGGUCAUGGUUCAUGUUGUAAUUUUAUUUAGCUUGAGGACCUCGUUUUUUUUAUAUGUUUUGUGCACACUGACUUGUGUUUUUUUUUAAUUGGUGUGCCGAAACUUGUUUAUUUGAGAUGAAUUGUUUUAAGCUUCUUGCAAAUUUUGGAAUAGGUGAAUAUUUUUUGUGAUGUUUGUUUAAUCAUGUUAUUCAUUUUUUUUUAAGAAAAAAAAUGGUUUUUUCUUGUGUGUUGCAUACGGCCAUUACCCUAACAUGCUUUGAAUUUUUUUUUAUAUAUAAAAAAAUAUUUGAAGUUUCGAAAAAGGUGUUUUCGCAUGGAUUUCGUAAACAUAACAAAAAUUAUUUUCUUGCAUUUCUGGAUUCUACAACAUGUUUGUAAAACUCCAAAGGGUAUUGGCCAAUAUUUCAAAAAAAAAAAUCCUUUUUUUUUGGGGGGGGAAUUCAUCUAUUAUUCACCGCUAAUGUUUGGAUAAAGAAAUUCUCAAAGGAUGAAUAUCCAAAAUAUUAUUGGGAGUAAUAAAUCCGCACACAUCCUUGAAAGAAGCCUUGAUUAUAAUCGAGGACAUUUCAAUUUUUUUACUCCAAGGUUUAUGAGCCGUGAGAGUAUAAAACAUUAAAAAAUAUAUCUAUAUAUAGGUUUUUUUUUAGCGCCCUAGAUUUCUAAGAUUUUUGUCCCUCCUCCUUGCGAUUUACGAGUGCAAACUUUUGAAAUACUAAGGGAAAAAUGAGCUUUCAAAGCACAUGGAAUCUCCUUGGAUUUCUAUCCUAAUAAAUUUAGUUUGAAUCAAAUCUAGAAAAACAGAUGGGAUUAGAAAACACCAACACUAUAGCAAUUAUAGCGCAAACCAAACACCAAGCAGCUUACCUUAGGUAGGGCGUACUAGGGGUGCUAAUACCUUCCCUUUACGCAACCAGUCCCUUACCUUAGAAUCUCUGAAAGACUAGUUAGGGUUCCUAGUGACCAAAAUACUAGGUGGCGACUCUCAUAUUCACAAUAAAACAAAAGACCCUGAAAUAAAUCGAAAGUCGUCGCUCCGCCACGAGGGUGCGACACUCCUAUUGAGGUUAAUGCAAGGUACUCUUCUUCUGAUGGUUUACCUUUGAUAGAUCCUACUUUAUACCGCACUAUUGUUGGGAGUUUGGUAUAUCUCAUCAUUACUCGUCCAGAUAUUGCAUAUGUUGUUCAUGUUGUUAGUCAGUUUGUUGCUUCUCCUACUAUUGUUCAUUGGGUAGCUAUUCUUCGUAUUUUGCGAUAUCUUCGAGGUACAGUUUUUCAGAGUCUUUUACUCUCAUCCACCUCUUCCUUGGAGUUGCGUGCAUACUCUGAUGCUGAUCAUAGUAGUGAUCCCACAGAUCGCAAGUCUGUUACCGGGGUUUUGUAUCUUUUUAGGUGAUUCUCUUAUUUCUUGGAAGAGCAAGAAACAAUCUAUUGUUUCUCAAUCAUCCACCGAAACAAAAUAUCGUGCCAUGGCAUCUACCACAAAAGAGAUUGUUUAGUUACGUUCGUUACUUGCUGAUAUGGGAGUUUCCUUUUCUCAUCCUACUCCUAUGUAUUGUGACAACCAGAGUUCUAUUCAGAUUGCUCACAACUCGGUUUUUCAUGAGUGAACUAAGCACAUUGAGAUCGAUUGUCAUCUUACUCGUCAUCAUCUCAAGCAUGGCACCAUUACUUUGCCUUUUGUUCCUUCUUCCUUGCGGAUUUCUUUACCAAGGCGCAUUCCAUCUCUCAUUUUCGUUUUCUGGUUGGCAAACUCUCGAUGCUUGUAGCUGCCGCAUCGUGAGUUUGAGGGGAGAUGUUAAAUAAUAUUUAUGUAAUCUUAUUUAUUAAGGGUAGAAUAGUACUUUCAGUUUAACCUAUAUAUACUUUAUUUAUAUUUAGGUUGAGAUUAUACAUUCAUAAUAAACAGAUUAUUCAAAAUUGUAGCCUCCUUUUUGUGUUUGAUCUCAAUAAGUUUAACAAUCAUAUUAUAAAACCUUUCAAUAUUUGGUAGCAUCUCUUAAGCAGUAAAUAUCAAUGGUGUAUCUAAUUAUCAAAAAGGUGUUAAUACCGUGUUAAAACACAACAGCUAGAAGUCAAUCAGUACCUCGUAGAGUUGCCAGAGUUUCGAGGCACGAAGUUCUCUUGUUGCAUAUUGUCUAUGUCAGGAAUUACAGCAGCUUGAUCGUCUUGUCCUUGAUUAGAAAGAAAUUGAAUCCUGAAUCCAAAAUCAUUCGCAAGCAUUAUGAAGCAUUACAAACUUAUGAUUAUCUAGCUGGGUUCAUGUUCAAGCUAUGAUGUUACUUUCCUCUUUGAAAAACUAUUUCUUUUUUUUUUUUACAGCAAAUACUAAAUAUGAAAAAUUGGAUACCGGGGAGCAGGAAAAGAAGGUCCAGAUUGAUUGAAGCCACCAUUUUGUGAAGUGGUUGCAUUCGGUGUCAUAUAGCCUUGUCCCGGAUGAGGUUCAGGAAUAUUGGAGUUCUGAUGCCUGAAUAAUAUUCAAAUAGUUAAACUUAGAACUGUUAUGCUCACUUGGUUGAUUUUCUAGUUCCAUUAUGUGCACACAAAAAAAAGAGAGAUAGAGAGCUCAAAAAUACUUGAAAGAUCCUCGUCAAUUUUGGUCAAGUUUAUUGUUUUCAUGAUUAAAAAAGUGUAUAUAUAUUCGAGGUUAAUACCAUUGAUUUAUUGGAGGUUGAGGUCCAGGUAACAUCGCAGGCACUUGAUUGCUCAUUGGUAACGGAUAAUUAGUCCAUUGUUGGUCCCUAAAUUAGCAACAUUUGUUAGUGAUUUCUUUAUACAUAUGCAUAAUUGUUAGCUAUUAAUCCACUAAGCAUUUGAUAUCAUUUUAGCUUACCUCAAAGGCAUUGAUGGUCCAGGUAGCAUGGGAUUGACACAUUGAGGAUCAAAUAAAUUAGGAUUAAGCUGAUACGGUGAUACCUACAUUCAAACAUAAUGAAUUCACUGAUAAGUACAACAACAAGAGGAAGAAAUGAAGAAGUCAAAUAAUGAUUGAAAAACUUCUUCUUCUUUUUUUUAACAGAAAAUACUAAAAAUGAAAAAUUGGAUACCGGGGAGCAGGAAAAAGAAGGUCCAGGUUGAUUGAAACCACCAUGUUGUGAAGUGGUUGCGUUCGGUGUCAUAUAGCUAUUUCCCGGCUGAGGUCGAUGGAUAAAGGAAUUAUGAUGCCUUGAUGGAGUUUGAGGCCAAUUUUAUAUAAAACUUAAUGAUAAAAAAAUAUCAUAAAAAAGUCUAAAUCUCCCAAUUGUUGUCUGUUUGUUUAACAAUAAACAUUUUGAAGAUGCUCGAGAUAAAUUGAUAAACGAAAACAUAAGACUUUUUGAUCCAAUGGGUGAUACAAACACUUGCUAAUUCAAUGGAAAUUGUAGCAAAUUGGAGUAGGCAUGAGCACUCACCAUGGUUUGAGGAAAUGAAGGUGGAAACUGAUCAGUUGUUUGCUGAAUACUAUCGUUGAUCACAUUGUUAUCCACCACCAUGUUCUGUCCAUCUUGAUCAUUGCAUAAUAUGGAGCUUUGGUUGCCUGAAAACUCCGGUGGCGACCUGCUUAAUUUGUUAUUAGGAACAUUAUUCUUUUUUGGGAAUAAUAAGAAAAACUGUAGAAUAACUAAAUUGCAAGUAAUCAUCUUCUGAUAAAAUAUGCUUAAGAAUGACGCACAAGAGAAACUCAGAUAUAUUGAAUGAAUCUUCUUGUGAUUGAAAAUCGAACUGAUUCGAUGUCAAGUUGACAUCAUCCUCAUUACAAGACGGUGGGACUCCUUCCAUCUGAGGUUUAAAAAAGAACAGAAAGCACAGAUUAGAUAAGAAUAUAUAUAUAGACACACACACACGACUUAUUUAUUUGUUAAAGAAAUUCGGAUGAAAAAUAGGAAAUAUAAAUGUUGCUGUUAAUUAUUUAAUUCUUUGUUUUAAUGCUAAAUUAUUUGUCACUUGUUGUGAACAAGUUUAAUGAAAGAUAAUUAAUACUGAUCAAGUUAAUUCAUGAAUCAGUAAAAAACAACUUCAUUGAAUCAUUAUGUCAGAAAAAUAUUGGAUAAAAAUAAUUAAUGGCAGUCCCACAGGGCAUGGAUUACAAAAUCUAGUAUUGGAAAAGAAAUCCCAUAUAUAAGGAGUUAAAAACAGCAAAGAAUUUUGAAAAGACAAAAACAAUGAAUUCAAGGUUUAGGGUUAAUUUGGUAUGAACACCACAAGGCAUAGAUUACAAAAUCUGAGAAAAAGAUCGAUUUAUUUAUCAUGGAUUACUUUAAAGAUUCAGACAAGAUGAAGUACAAUUAAUUUACCUGGAUUCAAGAUGUUCUUCAAGUGCUAGCUGGUUUGCUUAAGCAGUGAUCAGCCAAAAGAAAAGGAAGAGAAAUCACAGAUCAGAGAAUAAUAUAUGGUUUAGAAAAAUAAUAAAGAUGCAGUAUACAUAAAUCUAGUUCGCACUGAUCAUGAGAUGUAGAAAGGAAAAUAGGGAAUUGUACAAUGAGAUGAGAUGUGGAAGAGAAUGUUACAGCAGCUAGCUCUUUUACAUAAUAUUAUUUAUUAGUAAGGUCGCCUCAAUAAUAAUUAAUUAACGUAUUGUUUGAUAUAUUAUAAGAUAUAUAAAGUUAACGUGUGGACCAGCCCCAAUGUUGAAACUUCGAAGAAGCUGCCAAGAAAAUGUAAACAAAUUAAGGUUCCAUUUGUUUGCUGGAAAGUAUUAUUUUUUUUGAAGUAAAUUUCGAGUAAAGUGAAUUCCGGGAAAGUAUUUUCCGAUGUUUAGUGUAAUGAAAAAUGAGUUGGAAACACUUUCCAGUAUUUGGUUAUGUCAUAGAAAAUGUGUUGGAAAAUAAUUUAUUAAUAUUUUAUUUUUCUCAAGUUUAUUAAAAUAAUAAGAAACAAAUCUUACAAAUUAAAUGGUUGAAUGAUAAUGAAAUUGAAAAAAAAAUAUAAUUUCAUAAAUUAUCUCAAAUAAAAUAAAUAAUAAUCAAAAUAAUAGAGAUCAAAUCUAAAAAAUUAAAAAAUAAUAAAAGAUGAAGAAAUAAAAAUAAUAAUAAUCAACAUUUCAUAAAUUAUUUCAAAUAAAAUAAGUAACAAUCAAAAGAAUAAGGACCAAAUUUGAUAGAUAAAAAAUUUCAAUAAAAAUAUGAUAAGAAAAAAGCAAAUAGCAAUUAUAAAAAUAAGAACCAAAGUUAAUAUAAAAAUAAAAUUUUAAAAGAUGAAAUUGAAAAAUAAAUAUUCAAAACAAAAUAUAUAUAGCAAUCAAAAGUUUGAGGAUCAAAUUUGAUAUAAUCAGUAAAUAAUGACAUUUCUAAAUUUUUCACAACUCCCGGAAAGUGUUUUCCCCCCAAACUUUUCAGGAAAACACUUUCCUGAAAAGCAAGCCAAAUUUUUCUUUUACUGGAAAGUGUUUUCCAUUGACCAACUUUUCUACUGGCAAACAAACAAAAGAAAGUUUGGAAAGUGAUUUUUCCGGAAAUUACUUUCCGGAAAACAAACACAGCUAAAAAGAAAAUAUUUUCCUGAAAAUCAAGUCAAAUUUUUCUUUGACUGAAAAGUGUUUUCCGUUGACUAAAAAGUGUUUUCCAUUGACCAACUUUUCUAAUGAUAAACAAAUACAGGUGUAACUGGACGACAAAACAGAGUGACCAUUUCUUUUUCUAACAACAGGAAAGUUUGGAAAAUGGUUUCCCGGAAACUACUUUCCGGGAAACAAACAUGGCCUAAAUUUUCUAAAAAGAACAGCAUAUUUCUGCAUGCUGUGAAUUUUUUAAAAAAAUAUUUUUUAUUUAAAUAUAUAUUAAAAUAAUUUUUUAAUUUUUUUUUAUAUUGUCACAUAAAUACAAUUCAAAAAUAUUAAAUACAAACAGUCACUUGAUAUAAUUUUACAGAUUUUUAAUUAGUCUCCCUCAUUUGAGCCAUGUCAUGGUUAAUAGUUAUCAGAAGAACCAACACCCCGACAAAAAUAAUAAUAAUUUCACAGUUGAACAAUGUUUUUUAAAAAACUUGAUAUUUUUUUAUUUUAAAUUAAAAUUUUUAAUAUUUUUAGAUUGAUUUGACAUUUUAAUAUUCAAAAUAAAUUUUAAAAAAUAAUAAAAAUUAUUAUUAAUAUAUUUUUAAAUAAAAAAUAAUUUAAAAAAUAAUUAUUAUCACCAUCAAACAUUAUCUUAUUCCAUGAUAGCAUACCUGAACUUUUCCACAACAAUGGAAAUUAUUAUUUUUUCCAACACCCUUCUACAGAUUUAUAUUCUUAGCCCUCGACCUAUAAAGUAUGAUUUGCUAGCCAAUCUGCACACUAGUUUCUAAUUAAUACAAAGAUGAUCGUGUUUUUUUGUUGCCAAAAUUGUGGGCCAAUAAUUUUCCAUUUUUUUCCGAGUUUUUUAGUGAUUUUUUUUUAUCUCAAAUUCAUAAAUUAAAAAAUUAAUAAAAUAAAAUUUUGAAUUAAAAUUAAAAACCAAAAUUAAAAUGCAAAAUGCAAAAACUCCAGGGAACAGAAUUUUGAAAAACACACCAAGCUACUUUUUUAUUUCAGUAUCAUAUUUGGUGUUCAAAGUUUCAAUUAUUUUUAAUGAAUUAAAUUGAAUAAAAUUUUAUCAAAUCAAAUACCAACUUAAAUUAAUCGUUGAAGCUUUUUUUUUUUUUUUACCUUGAGAACUUCAUAAUUAAUUAAAAUAAAUUAUUAACCUCAAAUUCCCAUGAAUAUAAAAUUAAAAAUAAAAUAAUCAGCUCAAAUAAUAAUUAAUUAACGUAUUGCCUGAUAGUAAGGAAGUUGUCCGGAAGCAACCCACCGCUCACCUACCAAACAUGAGAGUGUUCGGAGAUUAUUUGGUUUUUUGUUUUUUAUGGCCAUAUAAAAAAUAUAUAUUUUUAAUUUUAAAAAAUAUAAUGUAUAUUUUAAAAAAUUAUUUUUUUAAUAAAAAAAUUAUCACAUCUCCGUACCAAAUACACAUAUUAUAUUAUAAGAUAUAAAAAGUUAACAUGUGGACCCCCACCAAUGUUUAAACUUCGAAGAAGCUGCCAAGAAAAUGUAAACACAUGAAAUUUUCAAAAAAGAAUAGUAUAUUUAUGCAUGCUGUAAAUGUUUUUUUAAAAAUAUUUUUUAUUUAGAAAUAUAUUAAAAUAAUAUUUUUAAAUUUUUUACAUUUUAUAUCAUAAUAUCAAAAUAAUUAAAAAUAUUUAAAAUAUAUUUUUAAAAAAUACAUUGGGAUUGUAAAGUUAAACCAGUUCUAACGUUUAAAUUGUUUUAAAAAUAUUUUAAAAAUAUAAAAAUAAACAGGGUUUAAGGUGCAUUUGAAUGUGUCUGCCUUUGAGUGUGUCUAUCAGAGCCGAGUGAUUUUACUUAACCAUGAAUUUUUUGUGAGACAAAUUAUAAUGAAUUUUUUUCUAUUUUACUAAUAUACCCAAGGUGUUUAUAACUAGAUGCUACUUGCUGAGGUGGAUAUUAGCAAUAUCAAAAUUAACUGUAAUGUUAAAACUUUGGAAAGCUAUUUGAGGCAACACCAUGCCCACCAACAUCACCCCAACAAAAAAAGAUGAAUUUUUGUACCUCCCAUAAAGAAAAUAGAUAGAGGUAUGAAAUUUUAUUCUAAAUAUAUUCUUAUAAAAAUUUUAAAAUUCCAAAUCAUGUACAUAUUCUGCACAUCACACAUAAUGACAUCUUUGUUUAGCGAUGGAGCACAGAGUUGAUCAUAAUAUAUAUCUUCCAUGGUCAAGACACAAUGGAUCUGUUGGUUGAGAUGGAUCUCCAUCACAGCCCAACAUCAUUAGCGCUUAUCAAAAGAAGAAGAUUUCGAAUCAGUCCAUUCAUUUCCAUCUGUAGGCAUCUUUCUCAAACAUCAAGGAGAAUUACUUCUAGAUUCUGAGUUGCCACUAAAAAACAAAAAACCCUUACGAACUAGUUCGUCUUCCAAUCCUUAAAUUAGUUUCCUCGUUGUUUUUCACAAUUUUUUAAGAAAAAAAAAUAAAAAAGGAAAAAUAAAAAUAUGAUCAUAAGCUAUAUAUCUAACACUCAUUUUAAAGAAAUUGAUAAUCCAAGAAUUUAAACCUAGCCAGUUAGCUAUAGGACACACAACUCGCUAGGGAUACGAUGAACCUUUUUUUGAUGGCCUUGUAACCCAGCAGAUUGGAAAAAAUAACAACGCUCCUAGGCCAAGCCCGCGAACAUCACCCCCAGCAUAUUGGAAAAAAUGCUCAUAACCAUUUCGGAAAAAACACACCUAGGCUACCAUGGUAUGCUAGAAAGUGGAAAUAAAUCGAUAAUAAUCAUGAAAUAAAUCGUAAGCAGAAAAGAAAAAUAAAUAAAAAUUGUUCAUACUACUCCAUCUUGAUUGAUGGGAAUGACUUCUGACUUGCAUACAUAUGUAAUAUGUAAGACUCCUGCUAAAAUUAUCUGAUAAAUUUUCGUGAAAAAAAAUAAUAAAGUCAGAGAACAACCAUGAAAUGCUUCUUAAAUUAAAUCAAAUGGAGAAGAAAACUCAGGUAAUAAAUGUUUAAUUCACUUUCAAGUGACAAUAAAGAAUGAAAGCAUUUCUAUUCAAUGAUAUUUCUUGGCUCACAAAUAAUCUAUCAACAAUUAUAUGAGAAUCAAAUCUCUCCAAUCACAUGCUCAACACUUAGAAAGCAAAUUUACAGAGUAAUAAGUCUAAUAAACUUCUUGAUGUAGUGCAACAGAUAAUUCUAAAUUUAUUAAAUAGACUCAUUAACAUUUUUUAUGUAUUUAUUGACAUAAAUAAUUCCAAAUUUAUCUAAUUAAAUAUAUACAAAACGUGGUUAGUAUAACUAAACACACUGACUUUUGGCUACCAAACUAGUUUUGGCAUUAAGUGGCUUGUCCCCAGAACCUGGGUCCCAAAUGCCAGCAACCGAACAUAAAAAGGUUUCAACCCCAUGGUGCCUUUUCCCUUGUUGUAAAUAUAAAAUAAAAUUUAAGUCAAGGAGGUCCAGUCUUAAAUGCUCCAAACAUUAUCCUUGUAUCAAGCUUAUGUGAUCCAAGAAUUCAUAUUUAUUAUAAAAUUAUAAUUUAAUAUGAGUUUUUAUCUUAUGAUUCAAGAAGUUUCUAUUGUAUAUUCAAGAAUUUUAAGUUUGUAGUCAAUUUUAUAAUUCAUAAAAAUAUUUGAUCCCUGAAUUAGUUUUCUAAAUGCCUUGCAUAAAUUCUUAAGAGUAAAAAUAUUUUAACAAUAGUUGUCGUGCUAAAAAUGAUACUCUAUUGAACUUUUAUUUCUAAUUCUAUUUUUUAAGUUUUUGAUUUUUGUAAAAUUGAUUGGAAAAAAAAAUCAGGUCAUGUGGGCGCUUAACUCGAAUCAGCAAAAUCAAAGAAUCAAGUGAAUAAUAAAUUUCAAUAUUCAGAGUUGAAGACCGGUGGAGCAAAAUCCGACUCUAGUCUAGAGCGUGUUUGGGAACGUCGUGCAAAUCGUAUUGCUUCAAAAUUAAAAUUUUAUUUGUUUAAAAUUAAUUUUUUUAUGUUUUGAAAUCGUUUUGAUGUGUUGAUAUCAAAAAUAAUUUUUUUAAAAAAAUAUUAUUUUGAUGUAUUUAUAAGGAAAAAACACUUUCAACCGCAAACCGCUCGUUUGAGAUUGUGGUAGUGAUUGUGGUUCAAAGUGUUUUUCGCUUAGAAAUACAACAAAAUUAUUUUUUUUUAUUUUAAAAAAUUAUUUUUGAUAUCAACACAUCAAAACGAUCUAAAAACAUAAAAAAAAAUUAACAAAAAAGAAAUUCAAAGUUUAAGUAAACAUGAUUUCCAUGGCAUUCCCCAAUAUGCCCGAAUCAAAGACAUUCUAAUCUCGUUACUUUUUAGAGAUCUCUUAAUUUUCAAGAGAACCUUAACCAUCCCUUUAUGCAAGUGUAUGCUUUGCCAAACAAUCCUUCAGGAGAAUGGGUUCUCAAACAUGCCAAAUUGUUUUUCAAAUAAUUCAAAAUUCCUAAAACAAACACUAUAUUAAAUUCAUCUAUAUCGGCAUGGGUUGAUCUAUCCAACCUAGUAAUAUGUCAUAGGAUUGGAAUCUGAUUAUGUAACAAUAGGGAAAAAAUGUCAGAUUUUUGUUUUUUUUAUUGGAUUUACUUUCUAUGUGGUCAAUCUUGCCAUUAUCAUGAGUUUCUAAAGUUAACAUAGGCUGAUUUUAAUAUUUUUCAGGUUUUUUUUUUAUUUUUUUAAUAUUAUUUUUUUAGAGUUGAUCUUUAUGAUUUUUUUAUGGAACAAUAGGGAAAUUUUUUUUAUAAAUUAUUUAUUUAAUUAUAUGAUAAAAAUAAAUGCUCCUCAAAUUGAGUAUCAUUUUUAAAAUAAUUCUAUAAAAAAUAAAUUAUAUUUAUUUAAGAUUAUAAUAAUUCUAUAAAAAAUAAAUAAAAAUAAAUCAUAUAGUUUAUUUACAAAGCAAUCUAAUAAUAUUAAAGAAUAACAUAAAAAAAUAAAAAAAAAUAUAUCAGAGAAAUCACAUAAGUUUGAUAGCAAGGAAGGAAGUUGCUGAGAAGGAACCCGCCGCUUACCUAACAAACAUUAUAUUAUAAGAUAUAGGAAGGUAACGUGUGGACCCCCUAAUGUUGAAACUUUGAAGAAGCUGCCUGUAAAAUGUAAACACGUGAAUAUGAGAAAGAAUAGCAUAUUAAGGUAGUAGAUAUCUCUUCCAUUUUUUUCCUCUUCAUAAUGCAUGGAUUUAAGUUGCUUGGAGAUUUCAUUAAUGAAAUUAUUAUUUUUUUAUUUUUAAUAUUAGUAUAUUAAAAAAUAUUUUUUCAAGAUAAAUAAUUUUUAAAAAUAUAUUCAAACACAAUUUUAAAUAUAAAAAUAAAUUAUGUCUUGAUUCUAUCGUAACAAUCUUCAUCUUCAAAGAUAAAUUAUUAAGAUCGUGACCUAUGUUCUCGAUUGAACUAGGAAGGUAUGGACUCUAAAUCCUAUAUAUAUAGAUAAAUUAGUAGAAAGGACAAAAACCCUAGUGCAAAAGUCCUAUAAACUAGCCAAACAAAUCAUACCCAGAAAAUCAAAAGCCAGAAACAUUCUAGCUCAAUUUUUGCUCCCCCUAGCUAAGAAAUGCAUAAUGCCCGCUUUGAAUUAUAGAUCAUCCAAAUUCCAGGGUAAAUAAUUGGAGAGUAAUUUGAUAGUGCUUAUAAAUUAAUUAAUGUCAUUUUAUUAAUUAUUAUUUUAUAUUUAUUUUAAAGAAAUAGAGAGAUAAACUAGAAGAAGAAAAAUCCAAGGUAAAAAUAUUCUUAUUAUUUUUUGUGUUUGUUUUUUUAAGUGAAUCCAAAAAAUAACCAAUAAUAAAUGACUAAUUACAUCCAAAGAAUAAUGCGGUGACGGUAGCACAGCAUUGAUUCUACAUGGGGACAAAUUAAAAGAAUAGAAGAAAAUAUUAAAUGAUUUAAUAGAGAAUAAAAUUUAAUUUUAAAUGCAAAUUAAAAUAAAGUAGAGUGACUAAUGGAGGAAGUACUGGAAUUCUACGAACAGUAGAGCGUCGGGAAUCCUUGCACACCUUUGGUAUUUUAAUUAUUCUUAUUUCGUUUAAUAACUCAAUAGGAUGAAAAAAAAAUAUUAAUCAAACUUCAAAUUAUAAUUAUUUAUCAUUUGAGUUAAAAAAAAAUAUGACAAUUCAGUAGUCUUUAAUGAAAUAAAAAAAAAUAAAAAAUGUUAUUUAUGUAAUUGUGCUUAACUUUACAAAGGGACGAAGGACAUUCUUUGCAUUAGGAUGCUCCCACUCCACUACCGUCUCCCACCAUUCUUUUGGAUAUACUAUGAUUUCUUCAAGAGAAGGGGGAGGAGAUGGCUGGCCAUUUUCAAGCAACGGAAGACAAAUUGGCAUCCUCUUCAGCUUCUGACAACGGAAUACAUUAAUUUCUUCAAGAGAAUUGCAAAUCAGUUUUGCACUACAAAUGCUUUUCAGUUCUGGUAAUUCAAAUAAAUUCAGAAUUCUUAACUUUGGGAGAAUGACUUCCGUGAUAGAAUUGGAGGUGCUGCUUUCUUCAUCUGUUGUUCCUAUUAUCUCCUCCAUUUUCUCACACUCAUUAACUUCAAUCACUUCCAGGUUUACCAGGUUUGGCAGCAACACAAGUGGGAACAGCUUCUUCAUACUUUUACAUCUAACAUAAUAAAACUCUUUAAGACCAGAAAACAUACCAUUAUAUGAUGGCAAUGGUGGCGGAUCAAAGCAGAAACAAGAAGAUGAAACCAAGCUCUCCAUGCUAUUGCAAUCCACAAUGUUGAUGUGCUCCAGUUCAGUUGCAUUCUCUAAUGACAAAACAUCACAUAAACUUCUUGCAUCGAUGCAUUCACAAACCAGUCCUUGAAUGCCAUUUAAGAACUUGACCUGAAAAUCUCCGUCUCCGUUGAUACUCAAAUUACCCAACCCAACUGUUUUACUUGGAAAAUUCAAUGCUUGCCAAAUACACCCACCUCUCCUACUAAAAUUUUGUAUGUGCUUAAUGAUUGGAUCCCAUCCCGAGAUCUGAGAUACUCCACGAAGUCAGGGAAACCUUCGAAAUGGCAUUCCAAAGUUUCUAAAUUUCUCAAGGAUCCUACUUCCUUUCCUUUAACUGUUAUCGGAGCAUUCGUAAAAUUUUCUAGUACAAAGACUUGCAGGUGAGAGAGUUUUGGUAAUAUCCCACUAGGAAACUCCUUUUCACCACAUCCAUGCAUUCUAAGAUACCUCAGGUUGGUUAGGCAUUCCAUUCCUUGCGGCAUCUUUGCAAGUGCCCGAGUAUCAGAGAGAUCCAACCUCUUCAGUGCCCUGAGCUUCUUUAAUGAUGGAACAUAUCUUAAGUUCUCACACAUUUUGAGCAAUAACGCAGUGAGACUCACCAAAUCAGAGACAGAGUCUGGCAAGUUUUCAAUACCUGUGCAAGACAGAUCGAGGACCUUGAGCCCAUGCAAUUGCUUGAAAAAUGAAUCCGCAAUCAAUGCAACUUUAUUUCACAUAGAAAUAGAGUUGAAAUGGACACUUGGUGAAUACUGGAAGGAAUUUCUUGAUCUUGUUUUUCAUUAGUGAAACUCGUCAGAUUCUCCGUCCACUCCUCUGCAUUUGGCAGCUCUUUUAAUUGCGCACCUGCUUUAACCAUAACUUGAGAGUUGUCUUGUAGUAUUUGGAUGGCCAUGUCCCUAAUCAAGUCAUGCAUCUUGACACAUCUACGACCAUCGUCCAUUUUAGCACUUUCCAAUAGGCAGACAUUUUCAAGUCUAUUAAGCAUCGUGUGGCCCUCAUCAAAUGCAUCUCCCCUGCUCCUCAUUCCUUUAAUUAUUCCCUCAUCAAUCAAAUAACCUAUCAACUCCUCCCUUUCAAUCUUACCAUCUUCAGGAAAUAAUGCACAGUACAAGAGACAUCGUUGUAGUGCUAAAUCACCUAACCGAUCAUAACUAAACCUCAAUAACUUGAAUACUUUCUCAUCUAUGUCCCUAAAUUCUGAUUCUCUCAAUUUGUUCAAUGUAUUUCUCCACUCAUGUAGGUCAUCCACUCCCCUCAAGCUUCUUGCUACUGUAAUAAUUCCCAAUGGCAAACCAUCACAUUCCUCUGCAAUAGCUUUUGCAAUCCCUUCCACUUCUCGCGAAAGUGCUUUGUCACGUCCAAGUUUCUCCAAGAACAAAUUCCAAGCUUCUCCAUCAGAAAGUGGCUUCACUUUGAUUUUGUGAUUGCAAGCAAUUCCAUGACAAACCGUUUCUAAUCGAGUUGUCAAAAUCAACUUGCAUCCUUCCAACUUCUCAGGAAUUCCCACUUUGUCUAGCUCAAAAUCAUUCCACAAAUCAUCUAGAAUGAGAAUCCAUUUUUGUUUCUUCAUUAGUUCUUCUGACAAUUUGGCAGCUCUAUGCAGAUCAUCAUCUUCGCUUGAAAGGUCUAGAUGAAGACGUUUAGCAAUAAGAUUCUGCAAUCUAUUAAUGCUGAAAUCUUGAGACACAGUCACCCACCAAACAUGAUCACAAAUAUCUGGUCUUUGUGGAAGCUCAUUAUGGAUAUGUUGCAGUACUGUGGAUUUACCAACUCCCCCCAUCCCAUAAAUGCCAAUGGUUGGGACUUCAUCAUCCAUUAACAAAGACCAUAUCACCUUCGUAUUCUCUUCGAAUGCUUGACCCACCGGCAUUGUAGAGCUAGUAGGUAAUGGAACUCCUCUAGUCUUGUUGUAUUUCAGACUUUCAGAAGAUCUAGCUACAGCACCAACCUGCACUGAUCUUCGACUAUUCUCCACAUCCUCCUCCACUGGUUCUGUCCUCACUCUAACCCGAUUAAUUCUCUCUUCCCCGGCACAUUGUUCCAGCACCCCCUGAACUCCCACUUGUAUCCUUCCAGCAGCCCCUGCCAAAUUGCCAAGUACUGCAUUGCUUUGUUCCAACGAUCGAUCCACUGGUUCUGUCCUCGGUCUGCUCUCGAGUGCCCCUUCGGAAACUCCAUCUUCUUGUGCUCUCAUUCCGGUCAUGCUUACUACGUCGUUUCCUGCUAUUGCAUGUGAAGUAAUCCUCUCUUCCCCUACUCCGGGUUCUACAUCCUGAACUUCUCUUUGUACCAUUCCAAUUCCUCCUGUGAUUUUAUGUCUUUUGUUGCCACCACACAUAGCUUUCCAGGCUGCUUCUUGAACUUCUUUAGGCACCCCACGACAAAUGGCAACAUUAUGCCCUUCCUCUCCUGAUAAAUGCCAUUUGAUCCUUGAAAUUGUGGUUUUAUUGGCAAAUGUAUGUGGACAAAACUUACACUUCAUGCUACCAUCAUCAGCCCUUUCAACAUAAUUCCAAAAUGAAUUCUUUGGUCCACCCAUUUCAACCUGUAGGAAAAAACAAAAGGGGAGGGGGGGGGUUUAAAAUAUAGAAUAAACAUAAGUCAAAAUAAAGAAUAAAAAUUGAUGCAAAUUACAGCAUAUCCGGAUGGAUGAGAAACUACUUCUUCAGUGUUGUUAUUUUGCUAUUAAGAUUGAUAGUUAGUUUAUUGCACAAUCAUAGAAGGGAAAUAUACGAGGAUAAUUCAGUUAGACUUCUUACUUGUUGAGUAUUUAAACCCCUAUUUUGACUUUGCAGGGAAGUGCCAAGGCCAGGAUUUGAGGCAUUUGGCCUAGCAGUUUGAUUUUGCAAUCCUCGGACUUGGAGGUUAUCCAUCUGUGACCUAUAUAUAAAUGAAGUGAUCAUAUUAUAAAACCUUUCCAUAAUUGGUAGUCUCUUUUAAGCACUAAAAGUUAAUGGUGUUAAAACACAACAGCUAGAAGUCAAUCAGUACCUAGGCACGAAGUUCUCUUGUUGUACGUUGUCUAUGUUAGGAAUUACAGCAGCUCGAUCGACUUGUCCUUGAUUAGAAAAAUAUUGACUCCUGAAUCCAAAAUCAUUUGCAAACAAUAUGUUUAGCUUGUUGGGUUCAUGUUCAAGCUAUGAUGUUUCUUUCCUGAUUGAAAAUCUAUAUUUUUUUUUUUGGAGAAAAUACUAAACAUGAAAAAUAGGAUACCGGGGAGCAGGAAAAGAAGGUCCAGGUUGAAUGAAGCCAUCGUGUUCUGAAGUGGUUGCGUUCGGUGUCAUAUAGCCAUGUCCCGGCUGUGGUUGAUGAAUAUUGGAGUACUGAUGCCUGAAUAAUAUUCAAAUAGUUAAACUUGGAACUGUUAUUCUAACUUGGUUGAUUUUCUAGUUCCAUUAUGUGCACAAAAAAAAACAGAGAGAUAGAGAACUCAAAAAGACUCGAAAGAUCCUCGUCAAUUCUGGUCAAGUUUAUUAUUUUCAUGAUUAAAAAAGUGUAUAUUCAAAGUUAAUACCAUUGAUUCAAUGGAGGUUGAGGUCCAGGUAGCAUCGCAGGCACUUGAUUCCUCAUUGGUAACUGAUAAUUAGUCCAUUGUUGGUCCCUAAAUUAGCAGCAUUUGUUAGUAAUUUCUUAUACAUAUACGCAUAAUUCUUUACUAUUAAUCCACUAAGCAUUUGAUAUCAUUUUAGCUUACCUCAAAGGCAUUGAUGGUCCAGGUAGCAUGGGAUUGGCACAUCGAGGAUCAGAUAAAUUAGGAUGAGGCAGAUACCUAUAUUCAAAUAUAAUGAAUUCAUUUAGUGUAAUAAAUUGGCAUCACUGAUAAGAAUAUUAGGCAGAUAAGUAGAACAACAACAAGAAGUUAAAUAAUUAUGAAUAUUAUGUACAAGAAGAAUUUAAAUAAUGAUUAUUCUCACUUAGUUGAUUUUCUAGUUUCAUUAUGUGAAGCAAAUCAGGAGACAGGGGAAACAGGGGACUCUUGAAAGCUGAUUAAAGCUUAUUAGCUGUGGUUAUUAUUUCCCAUUUAGCUGAUAGUUUCCUAGUCAGAUUAGUAUUAGAUUUCAAUUACGUAUUGGAUCGUAAGUCCUUAGCUGUAGGGUAUUUAAGAGGGGAACAGAACAAAAGAUGGGACAUUAUUUGUAUUCUUGGCAAUUACUUUCUUUAAAUACAAAUUUGAGUGAUUCCUCUACAUAAAAAUUCUGUAUUAAAUUAUUUAUUGUUCUUACUGGGAGCAACGAGAGGUUGUACCGGAGGGCAUUUACAUUAAUAUGUGCACAAAAAAAAAAGAGAAAGAGAGAGAGAUAGAGAGCUCAAAAGAAGUUAAAUAAUGAUGAAUACCUUGAUGGAGUUUGAGGCCAAUUUGGUUCAUUUUGGUUGAUCCGUGAUGAUAUGGAGCUUUGGUUGUCUGGAACCUCCGGUGGCCUGCUUCCAUGGACAGUGACAUUAUUAGGAUAAACGGAAGAAUAACUAAAUUGCGAGCAAUCAUCUUCUGAUAAAAUAUGCUUACGAAUGACGUACGAGAGAAACUCAGAAAUAUUGAAUGUAUCUUCAAUGGUGUAUCUAAUUAUAAAAAUGAAGUGAUCAUAUUAUAAAACCUUUCAAUAUUUGGUAGCCUCUCUUAAGCAGUAAAUAUCAAUGGUGUAUCUAAUUAUCAAAAAGGUGUUAAUACCGUGUUAAAACACAACAGCUAGAAGUCAAUCAGUACCUCGUAGAGUUGCCAGAGUUUCGAGGCACGAAGUUCUCUUGUUGCAUAUUGUCUAUGUCAGGAAUUACAGCAGCUUGAUCGUCUUGUCCUUGAUUAGAAAGAAAUUGAAUCCUGAAUCCAAAGUCAUUCGCAAGCAUUAUGAAGCAUUACAAACUUAUGAUUAUCUAGCUGGGUUCAUGUUCAAGCUAUGAUGUUACUUUCUUCUUUGAAAAACUAUUUCUUUUUUUUUUACAGCAAAUAGUAAAUAUGAAAAAUUGGAUACCGGGGAGCAGGAAAAGAAGGUCCAGAUUGAUUGAAGCCACCAUGUUGUGAAGUGGUUGCAUUCGGUGUCAUAGAGCCAUGUCCCUUCUGAGGUUGAUGAAUAAAGGAGUUCUGAUGCCUGAAUAAUAUUCAAAAUAGUUAAACACAGAACUGUUAUUCUCACAAAAAGAGAGAUAGAGAGCUCAAAAAGACUUGAAAGAUCCUCGACCUCGUCAAUUUUGGUCAAGUUCAUUGUUUUCAUGAUUAAAAAAGUGUAUCUUCGAGGUUAAUACCAUUGAUUCAAUGGAGGUUGAGGUCCAGGUAGCAUCGCAGGCACUUGAUUGCUCAUAAUUGGUAACUGAUAAUUAGUCCGUUGUUGGUCCCUAAAUUAGCAACAUUUGUUAGUGAUUUCUUUAUACAUAUGCAUAAUUCUUUGCUAUUAAUCCACUAAGCAUUUGAUAUCAUUUUAGCUUACCUCAAAGGCAUUGAUGGUCCAGGCACCAUGGGAUUGGCACAUUGAAUAUCAAAUAAAUUAGGAUUACGCUGAUACCUAUAUUCAAACAUAACGAAUUCACUGAUAAGUACAACAACAAGAGGAAGAAGAAGAAGGAAGUUAAAUAAUGAUUGAAAUUUUUUUUAUUUUUUUUUCAGAAAAUACUAAACAUGAAAAAUUGGAUACCAGGGAGCAGGAGAAGAAGGUCCAGAUUGAUUGAAUUCACCAUGUUGUGAUGUGGUUGCGUUCUGUGUCAUAUAGCGAUGUCCCGUCUGAGGUUGAUGAAUAAAGGAAUAAUGAUGCCUAAUUCAAUGUAGCAAAUUGGAGUAAGCAUGAGUACUCACCAUGGUUUCAGGAAAUGAAGGUGGAAACUGAGUUGUUUGUUGAAUGAUAUCGUUGAUCGCAUUGUUCUGUCCACCUUGAUCAUUGCAUGAUAUGGAGCCUUGGUUGACUGGAACCUCCGGUGCCGGCCUGCUUCCAUGGAAUAAUAUAGAGGAUAAACUAAAGUAACUAAAUUGCAAGCAAUCAUCUUCUGAUAAAAUAUGCUUAAGAAUGACGUACGAGAGAAGUGGUGAUUGAAGAUCGAAAAGAUCAUCAUCCAUAGAAGAUGGUUGGAACCCUUCCAUCUGACCAAAAGUACAAGAUGAUUAGUACAUGCUGAGGUGAAAAAAGAACAGAAAGCACAUAGCAAAGAAAAAGAAAAAGUAUUAAUUAAAUAACUCUAAAACGCGUGGUGUUUUCACUGUAGCCAUCAUUGUAUUUUUUUUUUUAACAGUUUUUCUGUAGCAUUUUUUUUUCUGCUUUUUUUUCCUACUUUUGUUUCUUCUUCAUUUUUUUUACAUUUUUUUUUUUUUUUUUUACCCAAAAUUUUCUUUUUUUUUUCUUUUUCAAAUUUUUUUUUCAAAAUUAUCUUUGCUAAUUUUUUUAAAUAUUGAGCUGGUUGAAAAUUUAACUAUAUAUCUUUUUUCAUUAAAACAUUCUGGAUUGCUAUAAUGUAUUCAUACAUUGUUUUUUUUUUCUUUCUGAUUUGUUUAUUCUUUUUUUAAAAUGGUCUUUGUAGAUUUUUUUUUAUAUUAAGUUGGUUGAGAAUUUAGCUUUGUAGUUUUUUUUUUUUUAAAAAAAAAACAAUAUGGAUUGCUACAGUGUUUCCCUACAUAGUUUUGUUUUGCUGUAGUGUUCCCCACAUAUUUUUUAAAAAAUUAUCUUUAUCGAAUUUAUUUUUUCAAUAUUGAGUUGUCUGAUAAUCUAGCUUUACCUUUCCCCACAUGGUUUUUUUUUAUGUUUUCAUUUCUUUUUCUUUUUUUCCUCAAUUGUCAUUUUUUACAUGUUUUUUUUUGUUUUUUUCAGAAUUAUUUUUGUUGAUUUUACUUUUUUUGCUAUUGAGCUGGUUGAAAUUUUAGUUUUUUUGGUUUUUUCUUUAAAACACUGUAGUUUUCCCCGUGUGUUUUUUUUCUCGCCUUUGUUUCCUUUUUUUUACAUGUUUUUUUUUCAUUUCUUUUACCCAAAAUUGACUCUUUUUUUUUUUUUAAAUAGUCUUUGUCAGGUUUUUUUAUAUAUUGAGCUGGUUGAGAACUUAGCUUUUUAGCUUUUUUUUUUAAAAAAAAAAAACACUAUGGAUUGCUACAGUGUUUCCCUUACAUGGUUUUUGUUUGGCUGCAGUGUUUCCCCCACGUGUUUUUUUUUUAAAUUAUCUUUGUCAAAUUUAUUUUUUCAAUAUUGAAUUGGUUGAGAAUUUAGCUUUAGCUUUCCCCAUGUUUUUUUUUUCAUUUUUUUAAAUUUUUCCCAAAAUUGUCUUUCUUCUUUAUAUUUUCUUUUUUUUUUCAUAGUUAUUUUUGUUGAUUUUUUUUUUUACUAUUGGGCUGAUGUAUAAUUUAGUUUUUUUUAUUUUUUUUCUUUAAAACACUAGAUUGCUGCAGUAUUUCUCUACAUGGUUUUUUUAUUAAAUAAUUUUUUUUUUAGAAUUAUCUUUGUCGAUUUUAUUUUUUUCAUAUUAAGCUGAUUAAGAAUUUAGCUUUGUAGUUAUUUAAAACACUGAAGAUUGCUACAGUGUUUUCCCACAUAAUUUUUGGCUUGCUACAGUGUUUCCCUAUACAUUUUUUUGUUGAUGUUUUUUUUUUUCAAAUAUGUUUUUGUCAAAUUUAUUUUUUUCAUACUGAACCGGUUAACAAUUUGGCUUUUUUUCCUUAAAACAUCGUUGAUUGCUACAGUGUUUUCCCAUAUGCUUUUUUUCCUUAUGUUUUUUUUUUUUAAAAAAAUUGUCUUUGUCGUUUUUAUUGUUUUUGAUAUUGAGCUGGUUAAAAAUUACAACUGUAGAUUUUCUCAUGAAACACUAUAGAUUGUUAUAGUGUUUCCCUGGAUGUUUUUUUUCCUUUUGUUUUUUUUUAUAUAUUUAUCAAAAUUAUCUUUAUUGAAUUUUUUUUUAAUAUUGAGCUGGUUAAGAAUUAUAGUUGUAUAUUUCCUCACAAAACACUACAGAUUGCUACAGUGUUUUUUUAAAUGAUUUUAACAUUUAGCUGGUUGAAAAUUUAGCUUUAACUUUCCCCACAUGUUUUUUUUUCUAUUUUUUUAUUAUUUUCUUUUUGCUUUUUGUUCUUCCAAAAUUGUCAUCUUCUUUUUUUCAUUGUUUUUUUUUCAUAAUUGUUUUUGUCGAUUUUUUUUUUAAUAUUGAGCUGGUUGAGAAUAUAGCUUUAUAGUUUUUUCCUUUAAAAUAUUGUGGAUGGUAACAGUUUUUUUUUAUAUGAUUUUUUUCACAAAUCCACAAUAAUGCACAAGCAUGCUACAAGCCCGCGGCAUUGCGCGAGCAUGUCACGCCUUUUAAUAAUAUAUUUACUUAUUAAUAUAUUAUAUUAUUAUAAUUAUAAAUAUAAAUAUUAUUAUAUUGUGUUAUAUUAUAUUGUAUUAUAUAACUAUUUUUUUUAAUGAAUUUUUUUUGUUUGAUUUAGUUUGUUAAUGUUAAAAAAAUUUUAUUUAGUUAUCAGAUUAUCAGAUUUAGUAUUAUAUAACAAGUUAUUUUUUUUAUUUAGUUUAGUUUGUUAAAGUUAAUUUUCUUUCUAUUUAAUUAUCAGACUUUCAUACUUUCAUGACAGGUGUCUUGGGCUUGACGGGUUAACUUGGUUUGAUGGGUUAACCCAGUUAAUUCUGAGUAAAUCCGUCAUUUGUUUUUCUAUUUAGUUAUCAAACUUUCAUGAUGUGAAUCCCAAGUUUUACGGGAUAACCUGGUUUAAAGAGUUAACCCAAUUAAUUCAUUUUUUUUUUCUUUUUCUUCAUUAGUUUUUUCCUUUAAGUUGAUUUUUUUUCUUUGUUUUUUUUUAAUUAAUCUAUUUAAUUAUCACACUUUUAUGACACGACUUUAUAGCUAGACCCACAUCCAAUAUUCUUGAGUCCGGUGUUGCAGUCAGGCUCACUUAAUCUUGGGUCAUGCAAGUUUAAUUUUAUUAUUAAUAUUAUAAAUAUUACUCAUAGGUCAGGCGUUGUAGUCAAACUCAAGAUUCUUGGAUAUAGCUUUGCAAAAAAACCCAAAAUUUUUAAAUUUUUAUUUGUUUUAAUAUUUUUUAUGCAAAAAAUAGACCCGCGGCAUCGCGCGCGGGUCAAGUAUCUAGUAUAUAUAUAUAAAAUGUUAAGAGUGAAGAAAGUUUGUUGGCGAUAUUAUUAAACCUCGUCAGGAGAGUUAAUAUUAAAAUCUUCUAACCUAACUUUUUAUUUAAUUUAAAUUUUUAAUUAAAUUAUAUGAGAAUUAACUCAGUUUAAAUCGAUCAAUAUCUAAAUACAACUUAGAAAACUAGUAAAACAUGGCUUAGCUUUUAAAAAAAUUUUCUAGACAAUAACUUUUAAAAAAACAAAUAUUGAAACAAUGACAGAUUUGAUCGAUCCCAGUCCCUCGCGACCUGGGUCAUGGAUUCUAUUGGGUUUGGUAAUUUUUUAUAAGCUUUUUUUAUUUAAUUAUAUGAUAAAAAUAGAUGCUAUCAUCCUAAAAUAAAUAUUUAUUUAAGAUUUUGAUAACCCUAUAGAAAGCAAACAAAAAUAAAUCAUUUAGUCUAUUUCCAAAUCAAUCUAAUAUUGAAAGACAAAAUUGAAAAACAAAAAUAAAAAAAAAUAAAAAAACAGAAACAAAAAAAAACAUAUUCGAUCAAUGGGUGAACCUGUCAAAUUUAUGAAUCAGGUAAUUUAGGCUAGCACAUCAAACCUAUGAACCAGGUUAUGGACUUAACUAGGAUUAUAAUUUUUUUUUUAAAUUAUUUUUAUUUAAUAAUAUCAUAACAAAAAUAAAUAACUGUAAAAUUAAAUACCAACCCAAUAUAUAUAUAUAUAUAUGCUAAUUUGGCUCAUAUAUGAAAUAGACAAAAAACGUUUUUUAAAAAAUGAUAAUAAAAAGGAAAGAAAAGGCAAAACAUUAUCGAUUACUAUUGUAAUCCAUAAUGAAAUGAGUGUGGGUGAAUAGUUAUUCUCUUACAUCUUUUAGUUAUAUAUAUGCUAAUUUGGCCCAUAUAUGAAAUAGACAAAAAAAGUUUUUUAAAAAAUGAUAAUAAAAAGGAAAGCAAAGGAAAAAUAAUAAAAAAGGCAAAACAUUAUCGAUUACUAUUGUAAUCCAUAAUGAAAUGAGUGUGGGUGAAUAGUUAUUCUCUUACAUCUUUUAGUUUUUCUUUUAAUUAAUAAACAAAAAAAUAUCCCACCAAACAAACUAGUGUAAUUUGAGUUAUUUUAACAAACUUGUAAAUCAAGUUAAUCUUAUAAAAAAAUAGAAUAAAAAUUAAUAAAUUAAAGCUGAAUUAUAACCAGCCUAUAAUUAAUAAAUUGUAAAUCCCGGCUGAGGUUGAUGAAUAAAGGAAUUAUGAUGCCUUGAUGGAGUUUGAGGCCAAUUUUAUAUAAAACUUAAUGAUAAAAAAAUAUCAUAAAAAUUGUGUAAAUAUCCCAAUUGUUGUCUGUUUGUUUAACAGUAAACAAUUUGAAGAUGCUCGAGAUCGAUACACUAAACAUAAAACUUUUUGAAUAAUACAAACACUUGCUAAUUCAAUGCACAUUGUAGCAAAUUGGAGCACUCACCAUUGUUUCAGGAAAGGAAGUUGGAAACGGAGUUGUUUGUUGAAUACUAUUGUUGAUCACAUUGUUCUGUCCACCUUGAUCAUUGCAUGAUAUGGAGCUUUGGUUGACUGGAACCUCCGGUGGCGGCCUGCUUCCAUGGACAGUGACGACAUUAUAUUGUUUUUUGGCAAUAAUUGGAUAAACCGAAGAAUAACUAAAUUGCAAGCAAUCAUCUUCUGAUAAAUAUGCUUAAAAAUGACGUACGAGAGAAACUCAAGCUCAGACAGUGGUGAUUCAAAGUUGUCAACCUCCUCCAUAAAAGAUGGUUGGAACCCUUCCAUCUGACCAGAAAAGAUCAGAAAAGACAAAAAAAAACUGAGGUCUAAAAGAACAGAAAGCACAGAUCAGAAAAGAAUAUAUAUAUAUAUAUGACUUUCUUGUUUGUUAAAGAAAUUCGGAUGAAAAAUAUGAAAUAUAAAUGUUGUUGUUAAUGAUUUAAUCCUUUGUCUUUUAAGAUAAAUUUUCAUACUCAAAUUCUUUUUAUGAUAGAUAGAAAGAUGCAGGAUAACUAUUGAAGGUAGAAGAGCUGAUUGUUUUGACGGGGUGAACAAAAACCUCUUUCAACUCCUCUUUAUUCAUAAUUUGGGGAGCAAAACAAAUGCAAGAUUCAUUGUUUACUGUUAAACAAACCUCUUUCAACUCCUAUUUAUUCUCUUUUAAUUAUUCUUAUUUUGUUUAUUGAAAGGUAAUUACCGAUCAAGUUAAUUCAUUGAAUCAUUGUAAGAAAAAAAAGUUGAAAAAUACUGAAUAAAAAUGAAUGGCAGUCCCAUUAAUUGGAAAAGAAAAGGGUGAAUCUAAAAUAAGGAGUUAAAAAAGGCAAAGAAUCUUGAAAAGACGAAAACAAUGAAUUCAGUAUUGAUUUAGUAUGAACUCUCUCCACAAGGCAUGGAUUAUAAAAUCCGAGAAAAAGAUCAAUUUAUUUACCAUGGAUUCCUUUAAAGAUUCAAACCAUACUUACAUAAUAAUUUACCAACAGGACUCAAGUGCUGGUUUGCUUGAGCAGUAUUCAGCCAAAAGAAAAGGAAGAGAAAUCACAGAUCACAGAAGAAUAUAUGGUUUAGAAAAAUAAUAAAGUUGCAGCAUACAUAAAUCUAGUUCGCACUGAUCAUGAAAUGUAGAAAGGAAAAUAGGGAGUUGUAUAAUGAGAUGAGAUGUGGAAGAGAAUGUUACAGCAGCAAGGUCGCCUCAAUAAUACUAUUUAUUAGUAAGGUCGCCUCAAUAAUAAUAAUUAAUUAACGUAUUGUUUGAUAGGAAGGAAGUUGCCACGAAGCAACCCAAACAUAUUACAUUAUAAGAUAUAGAAGCCCCCAUGUUCACACUUCGUAGAAGCUGCCAAGAAAAUGUAAACACAUGAAAAUGAGAAAGAAGCAUACCCCAUCUCGUGAAGUUCUACGUGUACGUAUUUAACUUUACAAUAUUCUUUGCUGUGAAAAUAUAUCAUGUAUAAUUAAUAAAUAAUAUAAGUGCUUAUACAUCUUCUUUUCUUUUCUUUUUUUAACUUUAAACAGAGAGGUGGCUGCCCCAAUACAUUCGGCCUGCCGACACUUAUUUUUUUGGGAGUAUUAAUUCCGUGAUGGAAUUGGAGGUGCUUCUUUCUUCAUCUGUUAAUCCUGUUAUCUCCUCCAUUAUCUCACAAUCACUAGCAUCAAUCAUUUCCAGGUUUAUGAGGUUUGACAGCAACACAAGUGGGAACAGCUUCUUCAUACUCUUACAUCCAUAACAAUAAAACUCUUUAAGACCAGAAAACAUACCGUCAAUGCUACGGGUUGUUGCAAAGUAAAUAGGAAACUUCAUCCAUAGACAAAUCUUUUCUGAUCGGGUUGCAAGAAUAUCUAGACCAUCUAAAAUCAGAACCAAUUUCUGUUUCUCCAUUAUUUCCUUUUUCAAUUCUACCACCCUAUGCAGCUCCUCAUCUUCAUUAGAAAUAUUCAGACCAAUACGUCUUUCAUUUCCACCAUGUUCUGCACAUCACACAUAAUGACAUCUUUGUUUAGCGAUGGAGCACAGAGUUGAUCAUAAUAUAUCUCUUCCAUGGUCAAGACACAAUGGAUCUGCUGGUUGAGAUGAAUCUCCAUCACAACCCAACAUCAUGAGUGCAAAUAAUGGUGGAGCCAGAAUAAAUAAAAAGCAAAGAUUUGCAUGUGGCUAGUGAAGGAGAAUGAUGCUGGCAAAGCAGGACCGACAAUGGAACUCCAUGAAGAACAGCAAAAAAAGCAUGGGAUUUUGACGGUGCCGCUCAAAAGUGUGGAUGCGGUUUACGAGGUUUGACAGCAACACAAGUGGGAACAGCUUCUUCAUACUCUUACAUCCAUAACAAUAAAACUCUUUAAGACCAGAAAAC
rnacentral:lncRNA from 1 species